AUUUUGAUGUCUAUUUACUAAAGAGUUUUUUGGUAUAGAAUGCAGCCACCAUGGCUCUUGGCCGCUCACACUUGGAAGCAUGUGAAAGCAUGUUCAGCGAGCUUUCUUCUUUUAUUGACGAGGUUUCUUCCGAGACAGAAGGAAAACCAAAGUGGAAGGUAUUGUUAUGGAUCUGUAAAAGAAAUCAAUAGAAGACUUUUAGAAUUCUGUUUAUUAAUAUAGGGAUUAAUAUGAUAGCAAAAGAAACCAGUGAUUAUUUUUCUAAUUCUUAAACCUUUCCAGCAUAUGUGAAGUGAACAAUGUUAUAGACAGUAUUCCAUAUUUCAAAUUAAAAGACAUGAUCUAAUUAAACCUUUUAUUAAUUGUUGCUUCUCCAAUUUUUGUGGAGUUUUGCACUUACAAGUUAUAUUAUAUGGAUGCAGAGUCAAAAGGCUCGCAGGGAAGAACUCCGUGUCCAUAUUGCAAAUAUUUAUCGCACUGUUGCAGAAAAUGUAUGGCCUGGCAUGCUUGCACGCAAGCCAGUUUUCCGCCUUCAUUAUCUUAAAUUCAUUGAAGAAACGAACAGAUUAAUAACAACAUCUCUGGAAAGCUUUUCAGACAUGCAACCAUUCCGCUAUGCACUUGCUUGUGUUAUAAGAUCCUUAGCCCCUGAAUUUGUUGAUUCAAAAUCUGAGAAAUUUGACGUUAGAACAAGAAAGCGCCUAUUUGAACUUCUUCUCUCCUGGUGUGACGACACAGGCAGUACAUGGGGUCAAGAUGGUUUCAGUGAUUAUAGAAGAGAAGUUGAUCGUUAUAAGUCUUCUCAACAUGCACGGUCAAAAGACUCUGUUGAUAAAAUAUCAUUUGACAAAGAAUUAAAUGAACAGGUUGAGGCAAUCCAGUGGGCAUCCAUGAAUGCAAUAUCAUCACUUUUAUAUGGACCAUGUUUUGAUGACAAUGCGAGGAAAAUGAGUGGCCGUGUGAUAUCUUGGAUUAAUGCUUUGUUUUUGGAGCCUACAGCAAGAGCUCCAUUUGGUUUCUCACCAGCUGAUCCAAGAACUCCAUCAUAUACCAAAUAUCAAGGGGAGGGUGGCCGAGGAACUGGUCGAGAUAGGGGUAGGGGUGGCCAUCAUCGUGUUUCUCUAGCAAAAUUGGCUUUGAAGAAUCUUUUGCUUACAAAUUUGGACCUAUUUCCCGCCUGCAUUGAUCAGGUAAUAUUUCACUUUCUAUUAUGCAUGUUUCCUAUUGAAGAAAUGGAAAUGUUGUAUCUGUUUAAAAUCCAGUGAGUGGGUAUAUAUAUAUAUAUAUAUAUAUAUAUAUAUAUAUACUACUUGUCAAGCUUAAGAAAGGUAUUAACGUAAUUAAAUUGUCUCACAAUGUCUGUGGACAUAUGAUAUAUAAAGCCAUUCAUGAACUUUCUCCUAAUAGCAUGUAUUUUUGAAAUUUUUCACAUUGCAUUUACUAAUGUCAAUGUGAUUUCCAAUCCACUGUUGGUUGUAGCUUUUUUUUUUUUUUUUUUUGGUCCUUGAAAAUUUUGCAUGUAUUUUAAUUUGCUUUGCUAUUCUUCCCCCUUUUAACUUAAUACCUUUGCACAAUAUAGUUUUGAAAUUGAAUUGGAAAAAUCUUUGGUUGUUGUGUUUUAUGGAUAUUAAUUUACUAUAUAUUGUAUUUCAAUCACAAUCAUUUUUAAUUUUAAAAUUUUGGUAGUUUCUUUUUUUUUGGUCCAUGGUUCAAAGUUCUGCUCAAAAUCACAAUGCAGUACAAAAUGUAAAUCAGUGUAUUUUUACUGAGUGCUUAGUUUAGCAUGACAAAAUAUUUAUUACUUAAACUGAAGUUAGAAAUUGCAAAGUGGCAUUAGAAGCAGUCCCUUUACUAGAAUAUAUAAUAAAUAAACUCAUAAAUCAAGCUCUCCAUAUCUCUGUGUUGAUUACGAAGUACGAACUGAUGAUAUGCGUCACUUGGUGAUACUAUUCAUUCUGUCCAUUUGAUUUCCUAUAUUUUCAGAUCUCACUUCCCUUGUAUUAUUUCUUAUGGGAUGAUACCUGUUCUCAUUGAGGUUAAUGCUUAUCCAGUGCUUACUCUAAUUCUUCAUUAUUUUCUGCAGUGCUACUACUCUAAUUCUUCUGUAGCCGAUGGGUAUUUCAGUGUACUGGCAGAGGUCUACAUGCGACAAGAGAUUCCAAACUGUGAAAUACAGAGACUAUUGAGUUUGAUCCUUUAUAAAGUUGUGGACCCAUCAAGACAAAUUCGCGAUGAUGCCCUUCAGAUGCUUGAGACACUUUCUGUUCGUGAGUGGGCUGAGGAUGGCAUUGAUGGCUCAGGUGGUUAUCGAGCUGCUGUUGUCGGUAACCUUCCUGAUUCCUAUCAACAAUUCCAGUACAAGCUUUCCUGUAAACUUGCCAAAGAUCAUCCUGAACUAAGCCAGCUUCUUUGUGAGGAGAUUAUGCAGAGGCAAUUGGAUGCUGUUGAUAUCAUUGCUCAGCAUCAGGUCUUAACAUGCAUGGCUCCAUGGAUUGAGAACCUUAAUUUUUGGAAACUCAAGGAAGGCUGGAGUGAAAGGUUAUUGAAAAGUCUUUACUACGUAACAUGGCGACAUGGAGACCAAUUUCCUGAUGAAAUUGAGAAACUUUGGAGCACAAUUGCUAGCAAAAAUAGGAAUAUCAGUCCCGUUUUAGAUUUCUUGAUCACAAAAGGAAUUGAAGAUUGUGAUUCAAAUGCAUCAACUGAAAUAAGUGGUGCAUUUGCUACAUACUUCAGUGUUGCAAAACGGGUGAGUCUAUAUUUAGCACGAAUAUGCCCUCAACGAACAAUAGAUCACCUGGUUUUCCAGUUGUCUCAACGACUUCUAGAGGAUAGCAUUGAGCCACUUGGGCCAGGUGCAAGUAAGGGUGAUGUCAGUGCAAAUUUUGUCUUAGAAUUCUCACAAGGUCCUGCUGUGGCCCAAAUGGCAUCAGUUAUGGAUAACCAACCACACAUGUCUCCAUUGCUUGUAAGAGGUUCUCUCGAGGGUCCGCUAAGAAAUGUUAGUGGGAGCUUGAGCUGGAGAACAGCAGGUAUGACUGGCCGAAGUGUCUCGGGUCCACUAAGUCCAAUGCCUCCAGAGUUAAAUAUUGUUCCAGUAAGUACUGGGCGAUCAGGGCAGCUCCUUCCAUCUUUGGUUAACAUGUCAGGACCAUUGAUUGGUGUUAGAAGCUCAACAGGGAGUAUUCGGAGCCGCCAUGUUUCACGGGAUAGUGGAGAUUAUCUUGUUGAUACUCCAAACUCAGGUGAAGACGGUCUGCAUGCAGGGGGUGCUGUGCAUGGCGUGAGUGCAAAGGAACUUCAGUCUGCCUUACAGGGUCAUCAGCAGCAUUCACUUACACAUGCAGAUAUAGCGCUGAUUCUUCUUGCUGAGAUUGCAUAUGAAAACGAUGAAGAUUUCCGGCAAUACUUGCCUCUACUCUUUCAUGUCAUCUUUGUUUCAAUGGAUAGUUCAGAAGACAUUGUCCUAGAGCAUUGCCAGCAUUUGCUUGUUAAUCUGCUAUAUUCCCUCGCUGGCCGCCACUUGGAGCAAUACGAGGUGGAAAAUAAUGACAGAGAGAACAAGCAGCAGGUUGUUAGUCUGAUUAAAUACGUACAAUCAAAACGAGGAAGCAUGAUGUGGGAAAAUGAGGAUCCGACAGUUGUCAGAACUGAACUGCCAAGUGCAGCACUUCUUUCUGCCCUAGUUCAGAGCAUGGUGGAUGCUAUCUUCUUCCAAGGAGACCUUCGUGAGACUUGGGGAGAAGAAGCACUCAGGUGGGCUAUGGAGUGCACAUCAAGACAUCUUGCCUGUCGUUCACAUCAGAUCUACCGAGCACUUCGACCAAGUGUAACAAGCGAUGCUUGUGUAUCACUUCUUCGGUGUCUUCAUAGAUGUCUAGGAAAUCCAGUACCCCAAGUUUUAGGAUUUGUUAUGGAAAUUUUAAUGACAUUGCAAGUUAUGGUGGAGAAUAUGGAGCCAGAGAAGGUGAUACUCUAUCCUCAGCUAUUUUGGGGGUGUGUUGCUAUGAUGCACACAGAUUUUGUCCAUGUCUACCGCCAGGUUCUGGAGCUCUUCUCUCAAGUGAUUGACCGAUUAUCUUUCCGUGAUCGCACAACAGAAAAUGUGCUCCUUUCAAGCAUGCCUAGGGAUGAACUUGACGCCAAUUAUAUAGGAGAAUUUCAACGCACAGAAUCUAAGAGUGGCUAUGAACCCUUACAAGAGGGGAGUUUGCCAGCAUUUGAAGGGGUGCAGCCUCUUGUUAGUAAAGGACUUUUGUCAAGUGUCAGUCACAGUGUCUCUAUUGAUGUCCUUUCCCGUAUCACAGUGCAUUCUUGUGAUUCUAUAUUUGGUGAUGCUGAAACAAGACUCCUGAUGCACAUUAUAGGGUUACUCCCUUGGCUCUGUCUUCAACUCAGCAAAGACCCAGUGAUAGGUCCUGCUUCUCCGCUCCAACAUCAAUAUCAAAAGGCUUGCUCUGUUGCUUCCAAUAUCGCAAAUUGGUGCCGAGCAAAAUCAUUGGAUGAAUUAGCAACUGUAUUUAUGAUUUACUCCCGAGGUGAGAUCAAGAGCAUUGACAAUUUCCUUGCUUGUGUUUCACCACUACUAUGCAAUGAAUGGUUUCCAAAACAUUCGACUUUGGCAUUUGGGCACUUGUUAAAGCUGCUAGAAAAGGGACCGGUUGAGUAUCAGCGCGUCAUUCUGCUCAUGCUUAAAGCUCUCCUCCAGCACACUCCAAUGGAUGCUGCUCAAAGUCCACAUAUCUAUGCAAUUGUAUCCCAAUUGGUGGAAAGCACUUUGUGUUGGGAGGCACUAAGUGUGUUAGAAGCCCUUCUACAAAGUUGCAGCUCAAUGACGGGUUCUCAUCCACACGAUAUUGGGUCAUUUGAGAAUGGAAUUGGUGCAAUUGAAGAAAAGUUGCUUGCUCCACAAACCUCAUUCAAAGCUCGCAGCGGUCCCUUGCAGUAUGGUAUGGGUUCAGGACUGGUCUCAGUUUCCACACCAGGACACAGCGUCUCAAAUGAGUCGCAGAGAGAGGUAAGUUUGCAGAAUACUCGUCUGUUUCUUGGCCGAGUGUUGGACAGAAGUGCACUAGGCAAGAGAAAAGACCAGAAAAAGUUGGUCCCUUUUGUUGCAAAUAUUGGUAACCCAUAAUUGUAUAAUCUAUUUUGCUAUGUGUUGUAUAUAUUCUUUGCUCUAGGAUAGAGAUUGUAUUGUACAUAGGCCACUUAGAUACUUGGAUGACAGUUUUGUAGCUGUGUAAUUGUAGACAGUACACUUUUGAUGUCAAAUAUCAUGCUUAAUUUAAUUUAGAUGAUAUCAAUAUGUUGUGCACUCUAUCUUGCAAGUUACACAAAGUAUGCUUCAUGUAUAUGUCUCUCUUUUCUACAAUGUUUUGAGCGAGGACUUUACUUCUUUUUUCUUUUGUUGGAUGAAGCACUGAACUUUUUUUUUUUACCUGUAAAAAAAAUCCUAGGAAUUAUAUGUUUUCUUAGUUGGUGCACUUUGUAAAAUAUAGUGGACCUUGUAAUAUUUGAUAAAUUACAUCAAAAGGACAAUAAUAGCCUUCAUUCAAUAAUAAUUAAUUAGGCAUGUCCAUGAUCCAAUCAAUCGUGUAACCCAAUUUUAGAUUCAAUAAAGUAUUGAUUUUCAUUAUCGUUUAUUUAUUGUUUAGUUAAAUAGUUAAUUUGAUAAAGUCCUUGAUUUAAAUCGUAGAGUUGUUAUCAUGAUAGAGAUUAUGAUAAUGACAAACAAUUUUUUUAUUAUUUUAAUCUAAAUUGUUCUUGAUCAUUGGAUGAUUGUGAGUAGGACAUUAAUAAUCUGAAUACAUCAAUAUAUAUGUGAUAUGAUCGAUAUUAGAUAAAGAUUAAUUGGCCAUAUCACAUAUAUAUUGAUGACACAUGUUGAUAUGAUCAUUGAUGUAUUCAAUAACCGUAGAUGUAUACACAUGUUUUAAUAACGAAAGAAAAUAUUAUAUAACCCUUUGAGUGGUUAAUAUUACUUUAUGCUAUCUGAUCGAGAGUGUUGAAAGAGACCUAUCUUAAUUAAAAGAUCAUUACCGAUUUAGUAUUGAAUUUAGAGUCGCACACAAAUGACAAGAGUGUUCUAAUUAUUUGAUAACUAAUUGGAGAAUAUAAUUAAUCAAAUAUAACUUUCUUAAGUGGAAUGUUAUUAUUGUAGUUUUGCUAACACUAAAAAUACAAAUAAUAUCUUUGUCAACUGAAUUCAAUCGAUAGGAACAUUGCAUAAUAUAUGUAAGAAUCAAGGUUCGAACCCCAACUCUACAUUUAUUCACCUUAAUAAAUGAAUUCAUAGCCACUAGAUUACUUUGAAAAAGAAUAAAAAAAUACAAUAUAUAAAUUGAGCAAGAGAUCUACAGACUAGUACGUUUUACAAUAUGUAUAUGAUAAUGCAUAUAAAACGUGAGUCAAUGUCCAAGUUUUGAUACUUGGUGAAUUUAAUGUUCCCGUGGACGGUGCUAUUAUGAUCAUUAGGAGAAAACUAUGUUACUCCUAACAAGUUCAAAUUGCUACUAUUUGAUGGAAGUGUAUAAGCUUAUAAACUUUAAGAUCCAAUGGUAAAAAGAUAGGCUUUAAACUUUUGAGGUUCCACGUUCGAGCUCUGGUAGUAUAUUUAGAGAAAGAUAAAUAUAAAUAUAUUUGUAAGUGUUGUUUGAGUCUUAAUGUCUUUUUUAUUUUAGAUCGAGACAUAAUUUCUUCACCCUAAAUUUCUCUUAUAGAAAAAUAAAAAGUUUGUUAGCCUUUAAAUAGGCAUCAUGCAAUCUCUCCCAGAUAACCUAUCACAAAAAUUCAACUUUUCUCGUAUUUAUUGUUAGCCUUUAAAUUUAUCUCAAUAUGAAUGCAUGUAGAGUUUUUAUAUUAUUGACAAAAUUUUCAUGAUUCAAGAACCAAUAGUUCAAUGCAUUUUUACAACAUUAAUUGAUUUAAUAAUUUAAGCACAAAAAAGUCAAGGUAUGUUACAAAUAAUAAAGUUGUUGGAUGUUCAUUAUUGAUCUUCCAAGUUCUAUAACUCCCAUUAGUGGAAUGAAUUGUUAGUGCUCAUUGAUUCUAUAUGAACAUUCACUUGUUUAUUUGUAUCAUAUAAAUAUGACUCAUGUUUUGAUGUAAAGAUAGACUUGUGAGAAGAAUAAUACACAAAGCUCUCAUCUUCUUCAUCUUUAAUCUUGUCUUUUAGUUUAUUUCAUAACAAGAUACAAUUUUUCUUCCAUUUUUUUUUGGUACAAGUAUUUUUUUAAAACUUUAAAUUAAUAUUUUAAAAUUUGAAUAAUAAUUUUAUUUUUGAAUAACAUAGUUUGAAUCCAUUUAUUAUUAAUCGUGUUUUAAUUUAAUAACCAAUUUCCUUUUUGCUUUUUUGUAUUUUACAUUAUAUUAUAUAGAGAUAAAUUAGUAUUUGUUUUUUUCUAUUAUCCUGUUGACUUCUUAACAAAAAUAAUAGUUGUUGUUUUAUUUUCACAUCGUCCUUAAGCAAAUAAACAAAUAAAAAAAUCACUAAAUAUAUUUAAUUUUUGACCAUAAGCAAUUAUUUAAUAUAAAGUGAAUAUUAGUGAUGCAUAUAUAUAUAUAUGAGUGUAUGUGUGCGUUUCUAAUUACUCAUUUUUCACAUUGUCCCAACAUCUUUAGGGUUUCAUUUUAGAAUAUCAUCAUGAUGAAGCUAGGAGGAAGCAUUUUCCUAACCUUUGGAAUUUUAUUUGCUCUUUUCAGCCUCAACUAUGGAUCUGGUAACUCUAUCACAUCUUAUUCUUAAUUUUAGUAUUUGAACUGCUUUUGUUCACAACAUUCAUACAUAAGUUUCUUAAAGUGUAAAUUAUGUUCUAAGAAGUUUAAUUUGCAUGAAUAAUAUAUGUUUACGCUAGAAAUGCGUAAACAUAUAUUAUUUCGAAUAGUAUAGGCAAAUUACAACCAUUUUUUCGAAUAAUAUCACGGUUAUAAUUGAUUGACAAUGUAAAAUAUGUUUACGCUACAAAUGCCUGUCAAUUGAAUCCAUGUUCUCAAUUAAGUACCCAUUUGAAAUCACGGUGAAAACCACAUCCACCAUUGUUUUGGCUAACGUUCCAAAUUGGAGCUUCUACUUUUUCACAUUUUUUAAGCAUUGGGACACAUGAAUAGUGCAUUGGGACGCAGUUUCCAGCUUCCAACUGCGUUUCAAAACACACACUAAAUUGACUUGUGAAAUAAUUUGAUAUUCAUAUUUUUUAUGUCUAUAAUGUUGUAGGUGUGAUGCAAAAGGAUGAUCUCAUCAAUUUUUGUCACCAAAAUAUGACAUUGAGUGGACAAUGCCAUGAAUCUCCAUCCUCAAAGCUGCAUAUGGAUCAAAGUACCUUUCCAUUGGUUACUUGCUUCGAUGUCUUCAAUGCAAAAUAUGGAGCAAGUGCCAUGACUCAGAAAUGUACUUGUCAAAAUCUUCCUCAGAAUAAGCACAUUUGCUCAUGUUGUAUUAAUUGUGUAUAUACAGAUGGUAAGAGUCGUUGCUAAAUUCCCAAAAAAUAAUUACUAAGUUAUCAAUAAGUUAAUCGAGGUUUUAGCUCAAUGGUAAGAGAUUGAGUUUGUAACCUUAGAGGAUGAAUUUCAAAUAAAAGUUGUAAAAUCGGCAGUAAUGUGUUGCCGUUAUUAAUAAUAAUUUUCUUUUUCAUGAAAAAUCUAAGGGCUUGAAUUAAAAGGUUAAAGAUAAGUAUAAGCAUUUACUACAUGUCACAUCUAUGUAUUGAAUUUGGGUAAAUAAAUAAAAGCUAAAUGGAGUAAAGAUGAAUUAUAUAAAUUAGUGCAGUGAAAUGUCUUAAGCUUAUGGUGGCUCAUCACGAGAAAUACAUGGUUGAUUAAUUUUCUAAAUACAUUGUUGGUAAUUAUUUUUAGAUUAAUAUUUACUCAUUUGUUUGGGUUUGAAACCAAUAACCUCGAAAUGUUUAAACUUUUAACUCAAAUAAGUUGAACUAUAUAUAUCAAAUAGACAUUCAAUUUUACGAUCUUACAUCAACGUGCUCUAUUAUUUAGGCUCAUACUACUAUGUUCUUGAUUUCAAGGAAGACGUGAAAUAAAGGAAAAAUAGAAGCAAAAAAUGAGUUACUCUUCCCUCCCCCUCAAAGAAGUUCGAAUUACACUCCCCUUCCCUCUUAUGUUAAAAUAUACACUCUCCACCUUUAAAAAAUAAAUUCAUACUUCGAGAUGCUUGAAUUAAAACUCUCUCCUUUAAUAAUUAAAUAUGCACUGCACUUUAAUCUAUUUUGUCAUAAAUAAAUAUUUUUAUGUUAUAUAAUAAUUUUAAACCACCACUUACGAAAAAUAAAUUAAUUUCUUAAUGAUUUAAAUGUCAAUGAUAAUUUAAUUGAAUUAUUUUGUUAUUAAUUUUAUAAUUUAGAGCAUAAAAUUUACUUUUGAUUCGACUUUAUUAAUUUUUCACAUAUUUUAAUUUUAUUUUGUGUUGUUUUAUAUUUUAUAAUAGGUUUAAAACUAUAUGUUAAUGGAAUUGUGAAUAAAAAAUAGCGAAAAUAUGCAUUCAAACUUUCGUUAUAUAAACUGGACUAGCAAUAUUAUUUUUCUUCGACGUGUGUUAGAUUUAUUUUUUUUGCUAGAUUAUUAGAAAUAAAAAAAAAAAUUAAAGGAGUAAAGUGUAGAUUUUAACAUCAGAGGGGAGGAGAAUGUAAUUCAAGCUUCUCUGAAAGAAGGGGAAUGUAAUUCAAGCAUAUUUUAAUGAAGGGGAGGAGAUGAUAAUUUACUCUAAAAAUAAUCAUGUAAACUACUUAAAUAAAAAUAAUCACAUUAAGUGAUAAACAUGAAAUACAUAUAUGUUUAUUCAAAUUAUUAUAAAAAUAACGUUUUUCAAAAGCUACCGAAAAAGUCAUAGAUUAAAUAGAUUUGACCAUCUUCAAUUAAAAAAAAUAGAUUAAAUAAAAAGAAAAGAAAAUCUAAAGUCAAAGAAAUAAGUUUUUUUUUUUGUAGUCAAUGUCAAAGAAAUAAGUUGUAGUUUAUUACACAUCAAUUAGAAUUAUCCUUUUUUUUUUAAUUAAUUGUACACGUCUAACUAAUUAAAACAACCAUCCUUUUUUUCUUUAAAUUCAAUGUGGGCAAUUCUCCAAGCUAGAAUUUAAACUUUUGUUUAUCAUGUUGUAGAAGUCAAAUCUCUUUCUGUUAGAUCCAAUUGCAGAUGUCUCCGUGAAUUUAAUUCAAUUAAUACUAACAAUGAAUAAUAUAUAUAAGGUCCGAUGUUCAAAUUCUAACCAACAAAAAAAAUUCCAACCAUAAGAGUGAACAAAGAAAUGAUUGCUAGUUUUACAAGCUUGAUUUCCACAAGUAAAACAUUUUUAUACGACCAUCCAAUAGAAAACCACUAUAUUGCCACAUCAUUCCGCUAUAUUGAAAUUGGUAUGAACAUGAAAAAAAUGAACAUGCAGAUGGGACAAAGACACAUAAAAAAACUAAGGAACCAUAAAAUGUGUAACUUCAAGACAAAAAAACUAUACCUAUAUAUUUUUGUUACACCUAACCUAACAAAACCCUCUGCAAAACCCAAAUAAACAAGAAGUUCUACAAAAAAGAUUCACUUGGACAGUACAUUUUUCUCUCUAUUGAGAUGCUCUACAAAAUGCCUGGGUGAUUGAGUGCGAAAGAACUUGACUGCGCCUGGUCGUGCUCUUUCCUCUACAUAUAUACUGGAUCUAUGAAGAAAUCACUUAUCAUAUAAACAUGUUCAGAAUACUAAUGUACAUAAUUGAAAAACAGCUCAAUUUAGAUGUUCAUUGUUUUGCAAAAUAUUUCAUUUUAAUGCUAAUGCUCAAAAUAAUUUCCAAAUGUGUGUUGAUUGGGUGUGAAGGAAGUUGACCUUGACCAACAUUUAUUCUCUAUGCAACCUUCUUCUAUUUGUAUCAUAUAAAGUGGUCAUCUAUAUACAUUGUUCAAUAAACAAGCCAUAUGUAUCAUAUUUGAGACCUACAAAAUCCCCUCUAUUAAUGAAGCUAUUAACUACAACUGUUAAAAAAAACCUAACAACCAAACUUAACUGCUACACCGAACCACACUACAAAGAAAUGAACUGUGUUAGUUUUUUAACUGAAAUGGUGUUUCUAAUACAGUUUACAAGGUAAAUAUUUUGUCUUUUCGGCAUUCUUCAAGGUAAAGAGUUUGCAAACAGUUCAGUUCAAUUUGCACAAGGUAAAAAGUUUGGAUUUUCAGUAUUUUUCAAGGGUCAACAAUUCUCUAAAAGUUUGGUUCUGUACGAACACAGUUCAGUUCAGUUCAGUUUGGCAUACAUAAGCAUUUAAGUUCUUUAAAUUUUGAAGUGGUUUGGUUUGGAAAUUUAAGAACCCGGUGCACCAAACUGAAAAUUGGUUCAUGACAAAACACAAAACACAAGCAUUUCAGUUCAAGCCAACUGCUUAGUGCCUACAUGUUCGGUUUGGUUUUUAUUGAGAAAGAAUAUGAAUGAAAAGUGUUAUUCUCAUUAACUUGUGAAUGAAGAUACAAGGUGUUUAUAUACAAGAGCUAGCGUACAUGAUAAGCUAUGGUAGUAAUGAAACACUAUAGUGUAACUAAAACACUCUAAACUCAAGUUAUUUCAUCCUUAUGUGUAUCAUCCAAUAGCCCCCCACAAGCUGGAGGUUGGUAAAUAUCUAACAAGCCCAGCUUGGAUAAAAGAAGAUUAAAGGGUUGAGGAUGAAGAGCUUUUGUGAAGAAAUCAGCAACCUGUUCUUGAGAAGAAGCUUGAGAAAGCAUUAUUAACAUCAAGCUGAUGAAGAUGCCAAUGAUUGAUAGAAGCUAAGGCAAUGAUUAAUCUGACAGUGGUGAGCUUAGCUAAUGGAGAAAAUGUAUCAAAAUAAUCAAGCCCUUCAACUUGAGUGUAUCCUUUGGCAACUAAACAUGCUUUGUAUCCCUCAAUACUUCCAUCAACAUGAUGUUUGAUUUUGAAUACCCAUAUGCAUCCUAUGGGCUUCACAUUAGGGGGUAAAGCUACAAAUUUCCUAGUCCAAGUUUGUUCAAGAGCUUGUAACUCAACUUGCAUCGCUUUCUUCUGGCAGUCAAGUUUGUUAGCCUAAGCAUAGGUUUUGGGCUCAUUGUGUGUAUGUAAGGACAAAACAUAAGAAGAGUGAUUCGCAGACAAUUUAUUAUGGCUAAGAUAAUGGGAAAUGGGAUAAGUAAUAGAGUUAAUACUAUUACAAACAUAAUCCUGUAGGUAAGAAGGAGAAGUUGUAUUUCUAGUGGAAUGUCUAGGUAAAUGGGAAACAGAUGAAGGAGGUUAAGAUGAGGAUGUAUGUUGAAUAGGUGCAGAAGGUAUGAAAGAAGUAUCAUUGGGAGGAUUUGAAAUUUCUACAGUGGAAUGAGGAAAAUAAUCGCAGCUAGGGUUAGUGGAAGAUGCAGUAAAUUUGUAAGGGAGGAUGUUUUCAUGAAAAGUAACAUGUCUGGAAACAAAAAUUUCUCUAGUGGACAAAUCAAACAGGUGAUAGUCUUUGUAACCAGACUUAUAAGCUAAAAACAAGGAUUUUCUAGCAUGAAGUUGAAGUUUUGACCUAUGAGAUCGCAAGGUAGAAGCAAAACACAGAUAACCAAAAACCUUGAAAAGUUGUAUAUCAGGAAGUUUGUGAAACAAAACAUGAUAAGGAGACUGAUUAUGGAGAACAGAGGUAGGGACUCUAUUGAUUAAAAACACAACAUGAAGAAUAGCAUAAGACCGAAAAGAAUGAGGAAGUUUAGAUUGAUACAACAAAGCCCUGCCAACAUUUAAAAUAUGUUAAUGUUUCCUCUCAACUCUACCAUUUUGUUGAGGAGUUUCAACACAUGAUUUUUUAUGAAUAAUACCAUAAGAAGUAUACAAAUAAUUAAGCAAAUACUCAGGACCAUUAUCUGAUCUAACAUAUUUUGGUGUUACAUGAAAUUGAGUUCUGAUCAUGAGAAUGAAAUUUUUCACAUGAACGGAAACUUCUGAUUUAGACUUUAGAAGAAUAAUCCAUAAAAAUCUGCUAUGGUCAUCAAGUAUAGUGAGAAAAUAUCUAUGGCCAUGGACAUAUGAAGUUGAAAUAGGACCCCAUAUGUCAAAAUGAAGCAAUUCAAAAUUGGUAGAGGCAUGAGAUAAACUUGAAGAAAAAGGUAAAUGCUUUUGUUUAGAAAAGUGACAAAUAUCACACACAUCUUUAUUAUUGUGAACAAUAGAUGGAUACAAAUGAGACAUUUUGGUCAUUCUUUGAUUAGAGAGAUUACCAAGUCUUAAGUGCCAUAAGGCAGUAACUGGAAUACAAUUGCUUGAAUCACAACUGAUAGAAGAAGAAAAAUUACAAGAUUUAUUGGGGGAAUGCAUAAAACUAAUUGAACAAACAUCAUAAGCAGGAGUAUAUUUGUAAAGACCAGCCACUUGAUUAGCCAAACCAAUCAUCUUCAAUGAAGUUUGGUCCUGCAUAAGGCAUUUGCCAUGAGAAAAGUUCAAAACACAAGAUAAUGACUCACAAAGUUUAGUAACAGACAUGAGAUUCAUCUAACACAAUGGUGAAUAUAACACAUUGGUAAGAUAAAACUGAGGAUUGAAAACAACAUUACCAGCAAAAUGAACAAUGAUAGAAGUAUUAUUUGGAAGAUUAACACGAACAGGUUUGAUUCUAUGGGAAGAAGUAAAAUAUGACAAGUUGGAACAUAUAUGUUAAUUUGCUCCUGAAUCUAGAAGCCAGUAAUUAUGUUUAGAAGGUAUACCUGCGUUAUCAGGAGGAGUAGCAGAGAUGCUAGUAGAAACAAAAGGAGUGACUUGGAUAUGGUUGGUGGUGGAAUUUGAAGUAGAAGGGAGAGAUGAUGAGGAAACCAAACUUGCCUGUUGUAGCAAAGGAAACAAGUUGAGUAUAUUGCUCUGGAGACAAACAGGUACCAGAACCUGUAGAGCCCCCCAAACCAUGAUCCAAUGCACCAUUUUCAUCAAGGAUCUCAUGAGUAGCUGCAUUUCCUCUUGAUUGUUGCUUAGGAAAACUAGGGUAGCCAUGUUUUUGAUAACAAAAAUCAAUUGUGUGAUUAGUCUUGUGACAAAAGGUGCAAUACGUAGUAGGUUUUUGAGAAUGAACAAAAGAACCUUUACCACGUCCUUGUGAUUUCUUAACCUCAUAAGCAUUCAAUUGUAUGUUACUAUCAUCUGAAGCAGUGACUGAAAUUGGUAAAGAAUUAUUGUUUUCUUCUUGCACCACAAGAGAGUAAACCUUCUUGAGCGGAGGAAGAGGAUCAAGAAGAAGAACUUGAGUCUUAACAACCCCAAAAUUAUCAUUCAAACCAGUCAAAAACUGCAUGAUUUGAUCCUCAGUUCUGUAAAUCUUAGCAACCCUAGUAGCAUCACAACGGCAAGCAUGAACACAAAUACAAGAUGGAAUUGGUCUAUGUGAUGAAAGUUCUUCCCAUAACGCUUUCAAUUCAGUAAAAUACUCAAGAACAUAUUUUGCACCUUGUUUCAAAUUGUUAAUAGAAGAACGCAAAUUUGCAAUACAAAUGCGAUCAACCUUAGAGAUACGUUCAUGGAGAUCUUGCCAUACCUCAUAAGCAAUGACAUAGAAGACAACAGUUUGAGCAAUAGAAUUUGAAACGGAAUUGAUGAGCCAAGAUUGAACCAAAUGGUUGCAACAUUCCCAUGCAGACCGGUUAAGAUCAUCAAGAUUGGGUUGUUCAAUGGAGCCAUUGAUGAAUCCAAGCUUGUUCUUCGUGCCUAGAGAACGCUUCAUGGAACGAUUCCAAGCUAGAUAACUGGAACCAUCAAGCUUAGGAGAAACAAUUAAAGAUGAAGGACCUUCACUUGGAUUCACGUGAAAUGGAGAUUCUUGAUCAGGACCUUGAUUACGAGGAGCCAUGGUGAAGAAGAAUCAAUGGAAAAAUGUAGAGAAAAACAGAGUGUGAAAAGCUUCUGAAAAACAGAAGAAGAAAAGUGAAAUGCAAAGCAACAAAUACAUAGAGAACGAAGCUUGAAGACGAAGCAAUCAGGCACAAAAAUGAAGAAUCAAGCACAUAAUCAUGAAGAUUCAGUGAAGAAGAUGAAGGAGAGAGGGAAAAUUGCAGCGGAAGUUGUUAGAAAAAACGGUUAUGGAUCGUAACAAACUCCCUCAUUGAAGGAGAAGAAACUGAUACCAUAUCAAGAGAGAGAGAGAGAGAAUAUGAAUGAAAAGUGUUAUUCUCAUUAACUUGUGAAUGAAGAUACAAGGUAUUUAUAUACAAGAGCUAGCGUGCAUGAUAAUCUAUGGUAGUAAUGAAACACUAUAGUGUAACUAAAACACUCUAAACUCAAAUUAUUUCAUCCUUAUGUGUAUCAUCCAAUAGUUUUCCUUGCUGAACCGAACUGUGAAAAGUCUACGGAUAUGUUUAUUUGAAAUUUGAAUAUAAUUACAAGGUAAUACUUUCAUCAAAUAUCAACAAAAGAAGUUUGUGCUACAACCAAGGCUAUCAAACUCUGAAAAGAUUCAGGUGGAAGAUCAUAGCAACCCAUUCCAUGAUUAGCAAGAGAUCAACAGACUAGUACGUUUUAGAAUAUGCAUAUAAAACGUGAGUCAAUAUCCAAGUUUUGAUACUUGGUGAAUUUAAAGUUCCCAUGGACGGUGCAUGCUAUUAUGAUCAUUAGAAGAAAACUAUGUUACUACUAACAAGUUCAAAUUGCUUCUAUUUGAUAGAAGUGUAUAAGCUUAUAAACUUUAAGAUCCAAUGGUAAAAAGAUAGGCUUGAACUUUUGAGGUUCCGCGUACCAGCUCUGCUAAUAUUUUUAGAGAAAGGUAAAUAUAAAUAUAUAUUUGUAAGUGUUCUUUAAGUCUUAAUGUCUUUUUUAAUUUAGAUCAAGACAUCAUUUCCUCACCCUAAAUUUCUUUUAUAAAAAAAAAAAAAAAAAAAAAAGGCAUCAUGCAAUCUCUCUUUGAUAAGCUAUAACAAGAAUUCAACUUUCCUCAUAUUUGUUGGUUUCACUAAUCAAAGGUUGAUAGUAAGAAUUUAUCUCGAUGUGAAUGCACGUAACGUUUCUGUAUUAUUGACAAAAUUUUCAUGAUUCAAGAACCGAUAAUUCGCUGCAUUUUUACAAACAUUACUUGAUUUAAUAUAAUUUAAGCACAAAAAGAUUUAGGUACAAUUUUUCCUCCAUUUUUAAUUUUUGUUUGGGUACAAGUAAUUAUUUUAGCUAUAUUGUUAAUAUAAAAGGAUUUUACACAUACAUUUAAUUAUGCGUAACCACAUCAUUAAAUGUUGAUGACAAGUUGUGUGUUUUUAUAACAUUUAAUAUUAGACAGUAUAUUUUUUUUCUUUUGUUGCUAAUUAUAACUUGUAAAUUAUUGUCCAAUCCUUCUCUUAUUAAUUCAUUUGAUACGAUUGAAAUAUUUCAUUCGAUCCAUGUUAUCGAGUGCUAUUAUUAAUUUACUUGGAAACAAAUAAAAAGUCAAUAAAUAUAUUUAAAUUUUGACCUUAAGCAAUUAAUUAAUAUAGAGUGAAUAUUAGUGAUGUAUAUGAGGGUAUGUGAGUGUUUCUAAUUACUCAUUUUUCACAUUGUCCCAACAUCUUUAGGGUUUCAUUUUAGAAUAUCAUCAUGAUGAAGCUUGGAGGAAGAAUUUUCCUAAGCAUUGGAAUUUUAUUUGCUCUUUUCAGCCUCAACUAUGGAUCUGGUGGUAACUCUAUCACAUCUUAUUAUUAAUUUUAUUAUUCUAAUUCCUUUUGUUCUCAACAUUCAUACAUAAGUUUCUUAAAGAGUGUAAAUUAUCUUCUAAGAAAUUUAAUUUGCAUGAAUAAAUUUUUCUAUAGUAUCAACAAAUUACAAUCAUUUUUUUCCAAUAAUAUAACGGUUAUGACUGAUUAACAAUGUAAAAUAUGUUUUUUUUUGCUUAAAUAUGGAAAUGGUCCCUGCAAAUAUCUUGCGUUUUGGUUUUAGUCCCUAUAAAAAUAUUUUUUUUGGUUUUAGUCCCUGCAAAAAUAGAAUAUUUGGUUUUGGUCCUUGGUAUUUUGUUUUAAUCCUUGUAAAAUCAUUUCAUAUUGAAAUUGGUCCCUAGAAUAUUCAUUUUAGUCCUCGUUUUGAGGGACUAAAAUCAAAUAUUCUACAUAUUACAAGGACCAAAUCCAUUAUGAAUCAAUUUUACAAGGACUAAAACAAAAUACAAAGGACCAAAACCAAAUUUUUUAUAUUUGUAGGGACUAAAACAUAAAAAAAUAUUUUUACAGGAACUAAAACCAAAAUGUCAGAUAUUUGCAGGGACUAUUUUCAUAUUUAAACCUUUUUUUUUUACAAACAAUGUAAAAUAUGUUUACGCUGCAAAUACGUGCCAAUUAAAUCCAUGUUGUCAAUUAAAUUGACUUGUGAAAUAAUUUGAUAUUCAUAUUUUUAUGUCUAUAAUGUUGUAGGUGUGAUGCAAAAAGAUGACUUCAUCCAUUUAUGUCAGCAAAGUAUGACAUUGAGUGGACAAUGCCAUGAAUCUUCACCCUCAGAAUAUGACAUUGAGUGGACAAUGCUACAUAUGGAUCAAAGUACCUUUGCAUUGGUUACUUGCUUUGAUGUAUUCAAUACAAAAUAUGGAGCAAGUGCCAUGGCUCAGAGAUGUACUUGUCAAAAUCUUUCUCAGGAUAAGCACAUUUGCUCAUGUUGUAUUAAUUGUGAACAUACAGAUGGUAAGAGUCGUUGCUAAAUUACCAAAAGUUUUCUUCAUUUAGCUCAUUAAUUUGUACUAAAUAAUAGAGUAAAGAUGAACUUAUAAAAAUUAGUGCGGUGAAAUGUCUCAAACUUAUGUAGCCCAUCACAACUAAUACAUUGUUGAUUAUUCUUUAAAAAAAAUUAAAGAUUUUAAUUUUCAAUACAAUAUAUGCACAAACUUUCAUAAAAUUUUACCACUUUUGGUGCUUAAAGAGUGCACCGGGCACUUGUUAACCUUUCCCUUAUUAUUUUUAUAAAUUUGUCAAUUUUUUUUAAUUACUAUAAUAAAAUAAUGAUUUUGAGAGAUAAUUAAUUAAUUAUAGAUUUGGUGUUUGGUAAAAAGUUAUAUACCACUCGUUAUUGUGCACGUGUCCACUGAUUAAUAGAUUAAAUAGAUUUGACAAUCUUGCAUUAAAAAAAAAUUAAAUAAAAAGAAAAGAAAAUCUAAAGUCAAAGAUAAGUUUUCUUUUCGAAGUCAAAGUCAAAGAAAUAGGUUGUAAUAAUAUAUCACAUCAAUUAGAAUUAUCCUAUUUUUUGAAUUAAUUGUACACGUCUAAUUUAAUUAAACAACUAUCCGUUUUUUCUUUAAAUUCAAUGUGGUCAACUCUCUAAGCUAUAAUUUAAACUUUUGUUCAUCAUGUUUUAGAAGUCAGGUCUAAGUCUCUUCUAUUAGAUUCAAUUAUAUAUGUCUCUGUGAGCUUAACUCAAUUGGUAAAGAUAAUGUAUAAUAUAUGCUAGGUCAGAUGGUACGAUUAUCGUAAUUAUGUAAUUUACUAAACCAUUUAAUGGAGGUGAACAAAGAAAUGAUUGGUAGUUUUACAAGCUAGCUUUCUAGAAGUAAAACAUUUUUAUACCAACAUCCAAUAGAAAACCACUAUUUUUCCACAUCAUUUCACUUGUAUAAGGAUAGAUUGAAAUUGGCAUGAUCAUAUGAAAAUGAUGGUCUUAGUUCCGUAAGUGUAACUCAGUUGGUGGCGCUACCAGAGAUCAUUUGUGCAGGGGCUGGGGUUCAAAUCCUGGAUUCCCCACUUCUUCACACAUAAUGUGUGUGAAUCUAGCCACUAGGUUACUUGACAAAAAAAAAAUUGAUGGUCUCAAUGAACGGCGGUGUAAAAUUAUUUACAUCAUCAGUUUAUGCUCUCUCAUUGAGGAAAUAUAUAGUUAACAUAAUGAAAAAAUGAACAUGGAGAUGGGGCAAAGACACAUGAAAAAAUUGACAUAAAUUGAACAAAGGUACCAUUAAAUGUGUAAAUUCAAGACAAACAAACUAUACCUAUAUAUUUUUGUUACACCUAACCCAACAAAACCCUCUGCAAAACCCAAUUAAACAAGAAGUUCUACAGAAAAAGAUUCACUUGGACAGUACAUUUUUCUCUCUAUUUAGCACAAGUGACCACUUUAUCAACUCCUAUGUUUGAUACUAUUUAGAUGCUCUACAAAUAAGUCAUUCCAUGUAUCUGUAAUUCCAGGUAAGCACCAGUGCAUGCAAUCAUCAUGUUUUUUUCCUCCGGCAGAAGCAGGAUGAGCAUCAGCCCUGAACUCACUCAAGUAAGUGAUGUUCAAAACAACGAAACCGGAUCCUUUAAGAGCCUUAUCGAGGUGUUCAUUGACCAAUCGAACCUCUACGUUGGUCCCAUUAUUCUUCACAGAGAAAAGUUUUUCUACCUAAAAGGGUAACAAAAUUCCAGAGUCAGCUCAUUCAACAAUUUAGCAACAAAAAAGAAACGGGGGCUCGAAUUCAAGGUCACUGCAAUGAGAAGAUAGAUCAAUCCCAUUUACAAUAGGAUUCACAUGUCACUCGUUGGAUAACAGUUUUAGUAUGAGAAAUACUUGAAAAAAUAAUUAAUAACUAAACGACGGACCUACCUGUUGUGCCGAUAAAGGUCGAUCCCUUUGACAUGAGCCACCUUGAUCCCAGUCCCCUCCCUCAAAAUGCCUGGGUGAUUGAGUACGAAAAAACUUGAUUGCACCUGGUCGUGCUCUUUCCUCUACAUAUGGUAUCUGUGAAGAAACCACUUAUCAUAUUAACACGUGCAGAAAGUAGACCAACGACCAAUCAUAUACCUACUUCAAUUAUUUGUAAUUUCAUAGUGGCAUUUGAAAAAUUAUAAUCAAAUUUAUGUUUUAGGAGUAUCGUAAUCACAAUCAGUUUCCCAGAAAUAAUUGCUCAACUUAAAAGUUCAAUGAUUUUAUCCGAACAGUUUCAGAAUACUGAUGUACAGAAUUGAAAAACUGCUCAAUUUAGAUGUUCAUUGUUUUGCAGAAAACUUCGUUUUAAUGCUAAUGCUCAAUAAUUCCCAAAUGUGUGUCAAUUGGUUGAAAAGGAAGAUGACCAAUAUUUAUUCUCUGUGCAACCUUCCUCUAUUUGUAUCAUAUAAAGUGGUCAUCUAUAGAUGUUCUUCAAUAAACAAGCCAUAUGUAUCAUAUUUGAGAUUGAGACCUACAAAAUCCUCUUUUAAUGAAAGCUAUUAACCACAAAUGGAACUGUUAAAAAAAAAAAACUAACAACCAAACUUAACCGCUAAACCGAACCACACUACAAAGAACUGAACUGUGUUAGUUUUUGAACUGAAAUGGUGUUUCUAAUACAAUUUACGAGGUAAAUAUUCUAAAUUUGUCUUUUCAGCAUCUUUCAAGGUAAAGAGUUUGCAAACAAUUCAGUUCAAUUUGCACACAGUUCAGUUUAAGGGUGAAAUACUGAAAAAAUUCAAAUUUUCAGUAUUUUUCAAGGGUAAACAGUUUGCAUACAGUUCGCUAAAACUUUGGUUCUGUUUGAGCACAGUUCAGUUCAGUUUGGCAUACAUAAGCAUAAGUUCUUUUAAUUUUGAAUUGGUAGGUUUGGAAACUUAAGACCAGUUGCAAUCACAUAUGAACUUUAGACCCCUGGCUUGUGCUUGUUAUUAUUUUCAUACAUUGCAACGAAACAAACAUAAUGGAAUCAAAUGUGCAAAAUUCCGUAGAUGCAAUGCAGAAACUAUGAGGUUGGUCAGCAUGAUACCUAGCUAAUUGUUAAUCUAUCAGGUCUCAGGUAAAACUUCAGAGCUAUUAUUGGUAACAAUUUAUAAGUUAGUUCAUAUUAAGAGGAAUAGAAAGAAAAUACAUUACCAUGUGCUCUAAAACCAUAUCAAGGCCUUGAUCUGGACGUAAUGGGGGGAUUACUGGCUGACCCUUCUUGAAGAAAAGCAUAGGUGACUUCACAGGGUCAAAUUUUGAAGGGGCCCACCACCUGUUAAUAUGAACCAAACAGAAUCAUAUUAACCAAAUUAAAAUCUUCUGGUAAUUUUUCUCAAAAUUUUGCAACAAACAGCUACAAACAUCAACUUAGAAUAGGAAAAAUAAUAAACAUGCCACAAAAGACAUCAUCUGUAUGACUAAACCAGAUCAUCAUACAACUAAAGUUUUCUCAAAUGAUUGAAUAACAGCUCUGACACCAACUGGACUCAAACAAUGGAAAAUAAUAAGCAAGCAGAGCAAGAUAAGACAUUAUUUACAUUGAUUUGUAAUAUAUCAGAACAAUCAAGGGGACCGAUGAAACCAGAAAGCUAUAGAUAUUUAAACCUUUAACGAAACUCAAAAUUCAUGUAAACAUACACACAAGAAGACAAACAAAAUCCUAGGGAACUCAUGUCCCACCCAUUAUAUUUGUAAUUUCCAACAUCGAUGACUAGAAAGGAAGGCACCCAAGUACAAAACAUGACACAUUGACAUAUUAUACAAACACUCUAGUAUCACCUACCAGUGCCCAGUAUUAAAAAUUAGAAUAUCGUGGAAACUUGCAGCUUGUGCCCAUGUACUAUCCAGAACAUCAACGUCAACUCUAUAGCCCUCUUUGAAUCCAAGUGAUUCUAAGGCACCGCCGUUCUCACUAGCCGACCAUCUGCAAUCAAAUCAAACAGAGGAAUAAGAACCAAAACUAAGCCAAUAACGUGUAACAAACAACAGCAUCAGAGUCCAAUAAUGAUUGCACAUAAGACAAUGUAAAUCAUGACAUGUCCAUAUAUAAUAACAAGUGAAAAAAAAAAAAAAAAAGACUGCAAAACCUACUUAUACAAAUCUAAAUAUUUUCAAAAAAUGGAUGAAAAUUCUGAAUUCGUAUAGUAACUAAAAGCAGCAUGCAUACAACAUACUUAGUGGAGGCCCUCACACAAGUGAGGCCACAUUAAUCAUAAGAAUAAUAAAACAGCAAGCAAUCUUAGCUUAGCUUACCUACCAUAACGUGCGAGAAGAUUAGUACGGUGAUAAGCAAUAGUAAGAUUGUAUGUGAGGAAGGUAAAUCCACGGUCAGCACCAGCAGGUCUCCACUUCUUAACUUGUCCAUCAGAGAUACUGCUCCUUAGAGUGCAGAAAAGUGACACAAACAUGUUCCUAUUGAGUGAGUCCCCAACAAAACCUGCAUUACUGAAACACACCCAUUAUUAAAAAUACCAAAAAGCAUACAUCUUUGAUUUUGAAUUCAACAUAUGAAACACCAACAAUAAAACAGGACACGACACCGAUAUUGACAUAUAAACACUGAUAAUAAUUUAAAAAGAGUAAAUCAGCAUAUUGUAAUUUGAACAAAGUAAAUCAGCAUACUAAGGGUAGCUCAAUUUUAGUCCAGCAAAUUCCCAAAAUAGUAACUUAGUCGCUUAAAUUGAACAAAGUCAGUUGAUUAAGUCAUUAUUCCAAAUUUCGCACCACUAUUUUAAAGGCUUAUGCCUAGCUUGAUUCAACAAGAGACUAUUCCAGUCAAUAUGUAGGUUUUUUUUAUUGAUAUCGGUGGAUGUUGAUUAAAAGAGAUAUUUUAAUUGAUGAACUAAAUUGACCAACUAAAUUGCUCAACCCUUACACUUUCGAGUACCAAAAGUCUAAUUACACUCUAAAAAUAUCAAAGCCACUGAAUGUGAUCACAUGUGUCGAUGUUAUGUUCAGACAUCAACACACAGACACACUUUCAAACUGAACUGUAUGCUUGGUUCAACUUUUGCAGGUGCUAAAAUUGAUUUGACGUGGAAAAUUGGUUUUGAACUUUUGAGCUUUUGAUUCUAGAACUGAUUUUACAUAAAUGUUUGGUGCCAAACAUAAAUCACUUUACAUUCAACUCACCAUAAUCAAUUUUAAGCCUGUUUGUUACAGCUUUUAUAGUGAAAAAGUUACUUUUUUAAAACCAAAUUAUCAAUUUUAGAAGCUUUCAUCAAAAUCAAUUUAUUCCAAACAUACCUUAAAUCAAAUUAUUCAAAAUCAAUUUUUGCUACUACAUAACCAAAGACGCAGUAAUUGAUAUAUAGAUUUGAACAAAGAGAGAUAGAAAAAGAAUCUUACCAAUGCUGGAAUGUGCAUGACUGGUCAAAAACCUAACAACAUCAAACUGUUCAACUCCAUCACAUCCCUUACCUUUCCACCGCCACUUCACAACUUCACGCCCAUUCAAUUUAUUCCCCUUUAUACAAUUCCAUCCUUUAAAAAUCUCUUUACACGUUUCAUCGUAUCGCGAAACGCGUGAUUCGUCGUAGAUCCAUUUUCCAUUAGAGUAAUCACAUGAAUCAUGACGGUUGUUGUUGUUGAUUUGGAAAUUGUGGAUUGAAGAGAAGGCUUUGAUGGAAGAGGAUGAGGAAGAAGAAGAAGAAGGGUUGCGGAUUUGGGAGAGGAGGAAGAAGAUUGAAGUGAAUGUGAGAAGGGAGAGAAGUGGGAAUAAUGUUGAGAAGUGCUUUUUCUUUUGAUGAGUCGUUUCUCUUGUGUUUGUGGCCAUGAAAGCUUCUUCAAUGUGCUUGUUUCUUCUUCUUCUUUGAAAUUGAAGUUGAAAUUUAAUUGAUUUUAUUGGUGAAGGUGAAAUUGCAGAUUCAGAUGACUAAUUUGAAAAUAAAUUACAAAGACAUAAGCAAUUUGAUGGUUUAUUCAAUAAUUAUGAAAUUACUUACUUUUGCUUAUAAUCAAACUCGAAAAAAUACAGUUUUUUUUUAAAGAUAAAUAGGCCUAAGACAUUAGCUAAGAAGGUAGAGUUUAAUUAAAUCCGUAAUUGUUUGAUGUUGAUUUAUCAAUUUGAAUCAAAUAAAUAUCAUACUAAAUCGAAAAAUCAUAUGACGCUGCACUAAGAUGAAGAAUAAAACAAUUAUAUAUUAAGAUGACGAAAUCAUAAAAGAAAAAUUUAGAUCUAUGUGAAAAAGAGGGGGAAAACAAUAUGACGAAGGAACACUUGGGAUAAAAAAAUAUCCAAAAAGCUAAAGACUCAAAUCUUCUCCAACCCUUUUUGACAUGUUUUUUGUUCUGCAUUGAUCUCAACCACUCGUUAAUGUUAUCACAUACUAUCCAAGGGUAUUUGAACGGUCGAGAUUCGCACAUGUCCAUGCAACCACUUGAAAGGAUCAAGAAAAAAUAAACUAGGACCGAGAUCGACUACGUUUGUUGGAGACUAAAAGAGCGAUAAACCACAUAUCAAAGAGGUCCUCAUAUGAACAAUGCGAGUUAAACUCAUGACUCGUGGAUGAGUCAACUCCUUAAUCCUUAUCAACCGAAUCAACCUUCGUUGUCAUUUGUCUACAUUGCCAUGUUGUAACUUUUUUUAAACUUUUCAUGAAUAGGAUCAAAAUGAAACUUUUUUUUUUUUUAGGAAAUCAAUAGUAGGAUUAAACAUUGGGCAUAGUAAUAAUGUUUUAAUAAAGUGAGUAAUUUUACUAAAAAAAAUGCAUGUGAAUGAUUAGAUCAAAUAUCAAUACAUGAAUUUAUUCCCAAAAAAGACCAGCGCACAAAUCCUUACAACAAUUUCAAAUAGGAAAAUGGUAACGUAUUCGCUGCACUCGCUCAUUCAUGCUUGUUCUGUCCUGCAACUAUUUGGCUCCAAUCAAAACAGGUUUCUUCAUUAUUAAUUAACGAAUUACAUUUCAAUUAAAAUUAAAAUUACUCCAAUUAUUAUGAUUAUGUUGAUUUCAUUUUCCUUUGUUCAUUUCAUUUAAUAUGCCUGCAUUUUAAGCCACAAUAUGAGACACAAGAGUACUUUUGUUAUUAUUAUUCAACUUUGCCAUCUCAUCAUUGAAAGUGACAUGAAUUUUAAUAAUGAAACGUGAAUCUUAUGACUGGUUUUUACAACUUGAAUCUUUGAUGGAUCCAAUAAUGCAACCCUUAUUUUCAUCCUUCACCCAAUUUUUUUUUUUUUUUUUUUUCAUUUCAUGGGUAGUAGUUUACCUUACAACAUUGUAAUAACACCGACACUUCUGAUUAAAAGUUUGUCUGGUGUGUGAUUACAUUGAAUUAUGUUUUUUUUUUUUAGAUUAUCGAUGUCCAUGUUUAAGUGUUUUUGUUGUGUUUGUGUACGUGCUUCAUGUUAUCCUCGCGACUUUGGCCCUUUGGACAUGCUAUGGCACUAAUCUUUACGUCGCCAACGAACAUCUAGUAAUUUUUUUACUAGGGUUGGGCUACCAUCCGAAUUGACGACUCUAGGAAUCAAACUCAAAUUCUAGGAAAGACAUGUUCUCAUGUCAACUCUCCCAACAUGUUGGUCAGUUUGAUUGACUUUAAAACAAAAAAUUGUACGUAAUAAUUCUCACAAAAAUAAAGAGAAUUGAAAUAAUAUCUAUCAAUAAUCAAUAUUCACCACCACCCACUUUGUGUUGUGCAAUUAUUAUUUUUUCCUUCAUUUGGUUUUUUUGUUGCACUUUUGUAAGAUUCUUUGAACUCAACCAACAAAAUCUAUUUGGAUUUGUAUGAUUCAGUGCUUAUUUUGAUAGAUAUUUUAUGAUUCUUAUGAUCCAAUAUAGUUUUUGUCUUUAUUGAACUUUUAUAGAGUAUCAUGCUUUAAAUUUUGUUUUUAUUCCAAAGUUUGAAUCUUUUCUUCAACUUAAGAAAUGGGUGUGUGCUGUUUUUGACAGUUUCAAGAAGCUGAUUUGAAAUUUUGAUAGAGAAAACUUGAAAGCUGAAAAUGACAAUUGAAACUGAGAAGAAGAAAACAAGGAAGAACAAGGAAGUUGUUGAUGAGAAUGUGCCUUUGUUACCUAAGUCUCAAGAAAGCGAUACCGAGUUACAUGAAUUUAAUGGAGCUUCAUUUUCUGGAGCUGUUUUCAAUUUAUCGACAACAGUUAUCGGUGCUGGGAUCAUGGGCUUGCCUGCUUGUGUGAAGAAGUUGGGCAUGGUGCCUGGUCUUAUUGCUAUAGUCCUAACAGCAUUUUUGACAGAGAAGUCAGUUGAAUUCAUGCUCAGGUUUUCAAGGGCAGGGAAUCUUUCUUCAUAUGGAAGUCUUAUGGGGGAUGCCUUUGGGAGAUAUGGAAAAGCAGUUUUAGAGAUAUGUGUUGUUAUCAAUAACGUUGGUGUUCUUAUUGUCUACAUGAUUAUCAUUGGUGAACACCAUAAUACUAAGUCUAGUACUUAAAAUUUUACUUUCACUGUUAUCAUCAAUAUGGUCUUAGUGUAUGUUUGGAUCUAUGUAGCACUGACACUUCAUAUUGAAGAUGUGUUUUGUGCUUUACAUGUGUCCUUUGACUCUGACAUGACACUGAUACAUGUGGUUACGUUCAAUUAUUUCACAAUUUCAAAUUAUUACCAGUGACGACACGUCAGUUUCAGUGUCGUGUUUGGUGUUAGUACUUCGUAGGUUUGAAUGGAUGGUUAGGUUGGUGAAAUCACGGUAACACUGUGAUUUUGUUAAAGCUACAAAGUAUAAUUUUUGUCAAAAUCACAGUGGCCUACAGCGAUUCCGUUAAACUCAUCACCAAUCCAAACAUGCACUAGUUGAUUAGCCAUAAGUCUAUUCAGACAAGAACUUAAGGUUGUAUAAUUCUAUUUUGUUUUGUUCGUAUUGUAGGUGAUGUGGUUUCUGGAACAACUUCAAGUGGAAUUCACCAUUCUGGUAUCCUCGAAGGAUGGUUUGGAGUCCAUUGGUGGACUGGGCGUACAUUUGUUCUUACCUUUACAACACUUGCUGUGUUUGCACCUCUGGUCAGCUUUAAGCAAAUUGGUGAGUGAUUGUGCUUUUUCUUGUAUUAGUUGAUGUGAAAAAUAGAACUAUUUUAUUAGUUGUCUCACUUAUAAAAUUACAAGUUACUGGUUAUAUACUAGACGACAGUGAUAGGAAGAUGACUCAAACACUGCCAGUGCUCCAAAGCUUAUCACUGAAGUAUAAAUUGGUCUAUCUUUACAAUCGAAUUUUGUUGCCAAGUUGUUUGGUUUUGUACAAAUUGCAACAAACUUCUACUUGUGUACAAGUGUUUUUGCUUACUUGAGUUAGAAGAUUGAAAAUUGUAUUUAUAUUAGGAUUUGAAUACUUAUUGUCUAUGAUGCAUAGGUACGGGUACGGUAUCCGGUGCGGGUACCGGUACGUAAUACGGCAAAUUUUAAAAAAUGAAGGUACGGGUACAUUGGUAUAAUACAUAAAAAAAAAUAAAAAAAAAAUCAAGUGAAUUACUACACUUCUAUCAUCAUGUUACUUGAGAGUUUUAUUUUUUUUUGUGCAUCCCCUCUACUAUUUUCAUCAAAAGCAAGAUAAUUUUGGUUAUUUUUUCAACGCUCGUACAUUUUUGUUGCACCAACUACGACGAAAUAACUAAUUAAAAAUAGGUACGGUUCGGUACUAAGUUACGAGUACCAUACACGUACCAGGUACGGGUGAGUACCCGGUACCGGUACUCCUCCAUGUUUGGAGUACCCAUGCUUCAGAGCUUAUUGUUUAUGUAUUUGUACCUUAGUUUUAGAUAUUUUGUGGCACACCUGUACACUGUCUAUAUCAAUACCAGUUUUCAUUCUGUGGUUGUUGCAGAUUCUUUGAGAUUCACAUCUGCAUUAUCAGUUGGAUUAGCAGUUGUUUUCCUUAUCAUUGCCGUAGGGAUCUCAAUUAUCAAGAUUAUUAGUGGAGGCAUUGGGAUGCCAAGACUCUUCCCGGUCAUUACUGAUGCAGCUUCAGUUUUUGACCUAUUCACCGUAGUUCCUGUGUUGGUGACCGCUUACAUCUGUCACUACAAUGGUGUGGAAAAAAUUUCAGACCUUUGUUUAGAACUCGUUUAUCUUGUUUUAACAUUUUUUUUGCAUGAAAUAGAUUUGUGUAACUCUAAGUUGGUUAUAGAUUUGUUUGAAGAAAGUUGUGAGGUCUUCUGAUUACUCAUUCCAUAUGCAUCACCUCAUCCUAUGUCCAACUAAUUUGAAAAGAAACCGUGUCUGUCAACCUUUUUUGAGCUAAAAACUUGAAAUUCCAAUUAUUUUGGUUUAGUUCUGGCUAUGUACUAAUAGUCUGAACUCGGCACACUAAAAUUUGCUCACCCAAAAUCCAAUCAUUUACUUGACUCUUCAUUCCAUGUUAACAACAUGAUGUGUUUAGAGUCACAGAUUGGAUGAGAUAUGGUCUGGAAAAUGUUUAAAAGUGGACAGUCCUCGCCUUACAAUCUAGUUUGUAGGGGUUGAGUUAAGUCCAACCAGAAAAUUCUUAAAUGAUGAGUGAUAGUAUACAUAUUGCAUACUAGGCUUGAUUGCUUGAAUUUUCUUAUAAAUCUCAAGCUGAUUCCCAAGUAUUGCUGAAGUUUCGAUCAUGUGGGAUCAUGCCAUGAUUGUAUUGUGUGCGCUCUUUAUUUGCAGUUCACAACAUAGAUAAUGAACUGGAGGACUCCUCAUGGAUGCAUGGCGUUGUGCGUGCUUCCCUUACUCUAUGCUCUUCAGUUUACUUACUGACAAGCUUCUUUGGGUUCCUUCUAUUUGGUGACGAUACUCUUCCUGACGUUCUUGCCAAUUUUGAUACUAAUCUCGGAAUUCCUUUUGGUUCUGCGCUCAAUGAUGCUGUUCGUUUUAGCUAUGCUGCGCAUCUCGUACUUGUAUUUCCUGUAGUUUUCUAUGCAUUGAGGGUCAACAUAGAUGGUCUGAUAUUUACCUCAUCAAGAAGGCCUUUGGUUGUUGAUAACUUACGAUUUGCAUCAAUUACUAUUGCGCUUGUCGGCAUUAUCUUCAUGGGAGCAAACUUCAUCCCUAGCAUUUGGGAUCUUUUCCAGUUCACUGGAGCAACUGCUGCUGUUUGUUUAGGAUUCAUAUUUCCAGCUGCAAUCACUCUGAAGUAAGUUUGAUCACUCAAUUCAUUUCAUUUUAUAAUGGAUUUUGCUUUAUAGUUUAAUUCCAUUCUUUAGUUUGAAACAAACACCUACUAAAAUAUAAUUAAACAAGGCGAGGUAAUGGUGUACAAAUUCUAAGAUACUUGCUUAAGUAGUUUUUAAGAAUAUUUUUAUUCGUGCGAUGAUUAAUUAUCUCAACAAUUAUCAAUAAGCCUUUUCUUUUCUUACAGGGAUCGACACAACAUAGCAACCAAAACGGACAAGAUUUUGUCCGUCUUUAUGAUUGUUCUGGCAGUCUUGUCAAAUGCUGUGGCUAUAUACAGUGAUGCUUAUGCUUUGAUCAACAAGAACAAACAUAAUGUGAAUGAUUUCUUGAUUAGAUAGCUCACAGUACAGGUAUUUCCAUGCAUUCAGAUGAAAGGAUCAUAAUUUGCUAUGGUUAUAUCAAAUUAGUUUUUUCAAUAGGGUCUGGUGGGUCGAUUAUUCUAUAAACAAAGCUACCAUGCGUACAAAUAUUCUUCAAAAGUGUGUGAAGGCCUGCAAUUUGUUCAACCUUGUUUGUAUUACAAUAGUGUUAUUUGAACACAACUGUCAACAUGUCUGGAAAAGAGAAAAAAUAAACAAAAAACACAAACCAUAUGUUUAUAGGGUGUUUGACAACAUAUUUGUUGUCAAAAUAUCAUUUAUGUUGUAAUUUUCGGGGAUCUGUUGAAUGUACCUCUUUUUCCCUGGCUUCAUCUCUUUGAUAAAUGUAAGAGAUGCAUUUGUUGACACUUUGUAUGCAUUAUCAAUGGCUAAGGGACAGAAGGGACAUCCUGUUGCUUAUGAAAGAAUGGUUAAGUUCAAGAAUUUUUGGGCAAGACAAACAGAAAUUUAAUCAUGGAUUUGAAAAUGUGUGGCUUGUUAGUAGUGUGUUUUUCUAAAUUUUCCUAGAAAUUGAACAUUUGGUGCAAUUCAUAGUAUUGCAUAAUUCUUAUGUAAUUAAAUAUUUGUCAGGUUAAGUGUUCCAUUGAAUAUAUUAGCAACUUGCAUAUCUAUUCAGAUAAAUUAUUUCACUGAACACGUGUAACCGUUGUUUUGACGUGCUAUAUUAGUCGACAACGCUCUUGAGAUUGGUCAAACUUUCUAAAUGAAGUCAAAGCUAUGUUUAUUGUUGAUUUAUUAAACUCGUCUUUGUGAUUUUCUUGAUGAUCAACAUAAAGGCCACAAAAAAAUUUCAAUUUAAAAUAGAAAUGUAUGAUGGUGCUGCAGGACGAAUUAACAAAAAUGUUCUGCAGGUGUGAUGUGUGAUGAGGUACCCAUACCUGCUCAUUUUCACGGGUAUUUAUUUACUAUGAACAUAAACACAAAAUGAAAAAAAGGAAAAGAGAAAUAAAUUAGAUAAAGGUUGAAAACUUUACGCAACAAACUGUUUUUUUUUUUCCCGACAAGAACACACCAAACUAAUAUAGAUUUGACUUUCUAGAUAUCCUCAAUUAUAGUAGCUUAAAAUUGGAGGUCUACUAAAAAAAAUAAUGAAGUGGUUACCAAAGUUUUGUAAAUAAAGAAAAAAUCGGGUGUUAUGAAAAAAUGUCUCAAACCAUAUUCAUUUUUCCUUAUUAUUAAAUACAUUUUAUUUGAGGAUGCAAAAAUCAAUUAACUCCUUUUAAAAUUUAUUUGACCUUCUUACUUGCUUUAGAAGGUUUAAACAAAUGGAUUAAAUAAGUUUUUAAUCAUUAUAAAUACCACGAGUUUUAAUUUUAGUCCUCAUAAAAAAAAAAAGUUAUGUUUACUUCUCAAUAGAAUUUUCCAACAUGCAAUUUUGGUAUCCACUGAAUUCAAACUUGUUUAAUUAUUUUUAAAUUUGUUAUUUUUUGAAUGAAUUUUUUCACACUUAUUUAGUACAUUGUAAAAAGUUCCUCCAAAAAAACAAACUCAAAAUAUUUCUAUAUCCAAAUUUUCAUUACUUUUCACACUUGGCGUUUUUAGAAUGUUCUUAACCUGUCUUCAAAAAUCAUUCAAAAUAUUCUUCGUGAGCUUAGCUCAGUUGGUUGAGACAAUGCAUAAAAUAUGAAAGGUCCGGGGUUCAAAAUCUGACCACUACAAAAAAAAAGACACAAAGGGCCUAGUUGAAUUAAAGUUAAUAUUUGACUUUUGUUCCAAAAAAAAAAUCAUUCAAAAUUUAAAAAUUUAAUCAUAAUUAAACAACUUAAGGUUUAAUUACCUUUUUGGUCCUCUAACUAUUUAAUUGGUAUCAGAUUGAUUCUCUAACUAAAAAUUGAUUUAUUUCGGUCCUCUAAGUUUCUCACUGUUACUACAUUUAGUCAUUUCUGUUAGUUUUAUUCAAAUAAACGUUAGGGUUUGUGUUAUGUGGGUACCUGACCUCCUGUUUCACACAUACAUAUGAACCAUAAUAGUUACCAAUAAUAUCAGUCACUAUUUAAUCAUAAUACCUUAACAAGGCAUAGAACCAAAAUGAUACUAAUAAAUAAAGUUAGAGGACCCACAUAACACAAACCUUAACGUUUAUUUGAAUAAAACUAACAGAAAGGACUAAAUGUAGUAAUUGUGAGAAACUUAGAGGACCGAAAUAAAUCAAUUUUUAGUUAGAGGACCAAUCCGAUACCAAUUAAAUAAUUAGAUGACCAAAAAGGUAAUUUAAUCUUUAAUUUAAUAGAGACUAAAACUACAUGUUAAUUAUUUUUUAUAGGGACACAAAAAUGUCAUUUUUUCAAGGACUAAAAAUGAAAUUUGCUAUAUUUAUAAGACUACAAACUUAUUUAACUCAAGAAAAAAAUUGUCGAGAAAAGAGUUAAACUCAAAUGAUAAGAAAUGGUAAAAGUGGGAUUAGGCCCAUAAAACAGAAUAUAAAUAUGUAUAAGGAAGUUGGUAUCUUACAACUCAUCCAAUGUUUUAUAAAAAAUAUAGUUAAAUAAAUAAACAAAUAAUAACAAACAAAAAAAAAUUGAAAUGAAAUCAUAAGAAACAACUAUAAGACUAAAGAAAACAACAUUAUUAAGAGAGAAACAAACAAGUGAAAAUAGAGAAAGGAUGGGACAUGAAUUUACUGCACUUGAUGAAAUCUUGCCGGUGCUUCAGUCACUCAGAUUUAACCUUUCAAUUCAUCCAAAGCUCGGCAUUUUAACAUGGCAUCUCAAAAACAAACCACCCUCCCACACAAAAAAUUUCCUUCUUUCUCACAGAAUAUUUUACCUCUCUCCUCUUAUAUUUCUUGAUUGUGUUUUUUGUUGAAUCCAACUUAUCUAUUCAAUUUAAAGCCUAAAAUUGCAAAACAUUAACAAAAUUAACAUACACUAGUACUGUAAACUGGUUUGGUCCAUUCAAAACUUCAUUUAGAUAAAGACCUUCAGAAUUGCAUCUCAAAAGACCAUUUCCGUAUCUCCAUUGAAUUUUACUAUUUUCAUAUAAAAACUAAUUCUCAAUAGACAUGUUUUGUGUAGCAUUUUUAUCUGAAAUGAAAUUCUGAAUGGGCCACACCAAUUUCCCACAGCUAUGCACGUUACUUUAGGUCAUUUGAGAUGAAAAGUUUAUAAUUUUGUUAAGGUUUUGCAAUUUAUAAUUAAAAAUGAAAGAUAUAAUUUGGGUUCGAAAAAAAUAAUAGUUAAAAAUAAAACGAAGAGGUACAAUUUGUGUGAGGAAGCAGUUCGUUUUUUAAAUGACAUGUUAAAAUAUAGAAUUUUAGAUGAAUUGAAAGAACGGUUUUGAGUACUUGUAACAAAUGCAUGACUUCAACGACAACAAUAUGGAUCUAAUUUCCAAAUGAAAGAGUUUGGGAGAUAAGGAGAAAAAAAAGGUUAUCGUCACCUUUUGCUACCGUUUUGAUUAGUCUCUAUCCAAUGCUAUUUUUUUUGUCGCUCUUCCUUUCUCAAGAAUUUCUCUGAUACGUUGUUAAUUUUUAGAGAGAAAAUCUUUUUUCUUUUUUUAAGUAUAAUCUUGUUAAUCUUUAUUCAACUCACUAUUGUUAACUGAGAUAAUGUUCAACUCAAAACUGUCAAAUUUUAAAAAAGUAAAAAUAGAGAAACUAAAACAAUCAAGCCGAAUAUAUAUUAAAAAGAAAGGCAAAAUGAACGAAAUAAGAAGAACACGAAGAAGAAGAAGCUUAUGUUUACAAAAGAUACAUCUCUUGUGGAAUCUCCACUAUAGUGUUCUAAUAUAUGAAUUCUAAUUUAAUUUUGGUAUUAAUCUCCACUACAGUGUUCAAAUAUGUAAGGUGAAGGUAAAGAUAUUGGUUGAUCUCUUGAAGAAAAGAGUUGAAAGAGGAAGAGUCCUGCAUUUUUUGCUUGAAGAUAACUAUCACAACCAGUUCUAAGAUUUAUAGCAAGGGGUUGUUAAUUUAUGACUGGCUAGAGUAAGUGAGGCAUGAAUAGUGCUUUUGUUGAAUGGCUGGGAUUGAGUAACCAUUAGAACAAUACAAAUCAAAUGGUGGAAGUGAGACAUUGUGAGACGCGGAAUGUUAGCAACACACAUUUUAACACACACUCUCAUGGAUGAAAACUAGUCAAUGUCUCAACAGUGUCUUUUGUCAAGUGUUAACACUUUGCCGUUUGCUUGCACAAAAUAGAAAAAUCUAAAUACCUAACAAAAAGUAAGUUUUGGUCAAAUACCAAAGUAGUAUAGUAGAGAGCAGCAAGUAUUAGUACACCUACCUUCUCUGAUUUAUAUGUUUUAAAUUUUAUUUACAUUUUAUGUUUUAAAUAAAAGUAAGUUUAAAUUAGAUUUUUUUAACAAACAUUAGUUUGUUUAUUUUUUUUUAAGAAGACAAUAUUAGAAAUUAGUUUCUUUCAAAAAAUAUAUAGGAACAACAAUGUUGUCUCGUUAAAUACCUUAUCAUGAAAAUUCAAAAGUAUAAGACAACCCUGACACUGCGAAAUAUACAGAAAAUAAUCUCAUUCGUGUUCUUGUCAAAAAAAAAAAAUCUCAUUCGUGUUAAAAAAAUUCAUCCCUAAUGCAAAGCAGAGCAGAGUCCGACUAAAUAAAAUCAUUACAUUGAAACACAUAAUUUACUAAUUUAUCAGCGUAACUUUUUCUGUCUUUAAAAAUAUGAGAAAUCUACGACGAAACCUUUUGAUGAAGGCAAACAAUUUAACUACCGGUUCUAAAUUUGUCGGGGCACCAAUGAAAAGUUAUCAAAGGCGUUACAAUGAUCAUGAAAUCACAUUCCAACCAUAAAUUAAACCAACCUAUUUAUAAAUUAUAACUUUAAAUUAGUUAAAUGAGAAUAAACACAUAGAAGGAUAAUGGUCUCUAAAAGAAUGAAAAGUAUUUACGUCCUCCAAAAUCUUAAAUAUAUGUUAAGUUAGUUUCGUUUUCAUUAAUCAAGUUUCAAAUAAGUUUUAUGAUUGGAAAAAAAUUCAUGUUGAUUUAAGUUGAGAUUUUUCCAAUCAAGGUCGGUGCAGUAUUUGGAUAAUUUGUACCUAUAACAUUGAUUAAAAAAUAUGAAUAAAUGUUAUACUUAUUUGGCUAAUAUGCAAUUUUAUAACAACAAUAUGAUACUUUUUUUUUUUUUUUGAAGGAAACAACAAUAUGAUACAUUGAUUUCCUUACCAUAAAUGUUAGAAUGCCUAUUGGCCAUUAUGCAAUAGCAAAACAUGUACUACUUAGUUUUUUCCAAAACAUGUUAGAAUGCAAUAGCAUGUUUAAAUUUUCUUCUGAUUUUGUCAUAUGUGCCUAAAUUUUGACUUAGUUUGAUUUCAGUUUCAAUGUUGUGUAUUGCAUUAGGCUGCCAGUGACAUUUAAUGGUUUCAAAUGUUUCAUUCAGAACCAGAACACACAAAAGAUGAUUGUUUCUGGUGAUAAAUUGGAAAAAUUGUACUACUUAGCUCUCUCAAAUUGAAAAAAAUGUACUACUUAACUCUUUCACAAGCUUUUGGUGAAUAAUUCACGAUCACAUGAGUUUGUUUUUCAUUGAACAUUGAAGACAAAAUAUUGUAUUCAAAUUAAGUGUAGUGUGUUGAAAUGAACAAAAAAUUACUACCUAAGUUGCAAAAACAAAUGCACACACAAUAUAAUAAUAAUCUUGCUUAAAGUUCAACAAAGCAUAAUGUAGUGACAAGAAAAACAUAAAAAUAAAAUUAAAGAAAGCAAAAGAGAAACAAUAACACAAAGUUAAAAAAUUUACACAACAGACUAUGUAAGAUUUUAGUCUCUAAAUAUCCUCAAUUAUAGCGACUUAAAAUUAGAGGUCUACACAAAAAUAAUGAAGUGGUUACCAAAGUUUUUUAAAUAAAGAAAACAUUGGGUGUUACGAAGAACAAAAAUGGUCUCUUAAACAAUAAAGAAAACGCUUCUUCCCAACUGAGCUGCUCAACCUUCUUAAAAGUGAUGCUAAUGGAACCUUCUUCCUUAGGGAUUAGCUAGGUUUUGUUAGGCUUUUUCUUUUUCUGUUCGUGUUUUUUUUUUCUCUUUCUUUCUGUUGUCUCCGUGGUAAAAAAAAAAAACAAUAUUUUAAGUCAAAAGUCGAAUGUAUUGAGGGAAUGUAUUAGAAUCUUACGAUAUCAUUUUGAAAAAAAAAUAUUUAACUCCGAUGAAUCAUGCAAAAUAUGUAUUAACCUUAAAAGAUUCAUUUUUUUCUUCUUCUUAUUAUUAAAUACAAUUUAAUUAGGAAUGCAAAAAUAAAUUUACUCCUUUUAAAAUUUAUUUGACCUUAUUUUGUUCAUGUUUGAUUUGAAAUGUUUAAAAAUAUUGUUGAGAAAGCAAUUAAACCCAAACACUACAACAAAUAAUAACAAGAAACCAUGCUAAGACUAAAGCAAACAUCAUUAAGAGAUAAAUAUAUAAAUAAAUAAAUAAAUAAAUAAAUAAGGGCGUGGGUGUGAGGUCGUUUAAGAGACAUAAUGAAAGAAAAUGGAUGAAAGAAGAGAUAUGUUUUUUUUAAGAUGAAUAAGCAGCGUGUAUGGAUUCGAACUCCGCCCUCUGUAUAUAUUAUGCAAUGUCUCUAUCAACUAAGUUAUGUUUACGAAGUCGAAAGGGAUAUGGUUUUACUAUAGAUGCUGGAAUCACGGUUGUUUAAAUUUGGUCAUUCAAUUCAUCAAAACUCCACAUUUUAGCACGUCAUCUAAAAACUAAUCCAUGGCCACGCAUGCAAAUAUUACUUCCUCCUCAAACAAUAUUCAAUAAUCUCCCUCUUAUCUUCAUUGAUAUAUAUUUUUUUUUUGCUAAUCCAAUUUAUCUCUUUCAUUUUGAAGGCUAAAACUGAAAAACCUAAAAAAAAAUUAUAGAAUUUUCAUCUCAAAAGAAUUACGGUAACAUCCAUUUGCACCAGAAACUAGUUAAGCCCCUCAAAAUGCUAUAUACAAUGAUAUAAAAUGGACCGUAACUUGCAAAAAAAUUACAUAGAGUCUGUUUGGUAACAUUCAAAAAAGGGUUUUUAGCUCUUGGCUUAUAGCUUAUAAACUCGUUUGACAAAAAAAAAAGUUCUGUUUGAUAACACUUUUUCACCAUGAGCUUAUAGCUUAUUUCACGAGCUUAUAAGCUAUUUUUCAGAAGCUAUUCCAAGUAGUGUUUGAGCUUAUAGCUUAUAGCUUCUCACUUUUUCUUCCAAUUUUACCCUUAUUAUUUCAUUUAAAUUCCAUUUUUAUCCAUUACAAUUUUUAUAAUAAGCUACGUUAUAAAGACUACUAUCCCUUUAUUCCAAUUUUUGUAUAUAUAUCAGCUGACCUUUUUUUUUUGUUUUGAAAAAAUAUAUACCUUCGUUUUUUUUUUUUACGAAACAAAAUACUAUUACUCUAUUAGUGUUACUUUUAUUUUUAUUUUUUUGAGAUAAGUGUUAUUUUCUUUAUUCUCUGUUAUUAGUAUUACUCUAUUAGUGUUACCUUUUUUUUUUUAGGUAAAUGUUAUUUUCUUUAUAAAUUGGAAACACUUAUAUGAUAAUAAAUAUAAGAUAAAAUUUUAGUGAAUAAAAUUUAAUUUAAUUUAAUUUAUAAUACAUAGGAUAUAUUAAAUUAAUAAAUUUAAAGUAUUUUUUUAAAGAAAAAUUAGUUUACAAAAUUACAAAUACUUAAAUAUUAAUUGAUAUAAUUUUUAUUAUGAAUUAAGAUUACCCUUUAUGUGAUUUUACAUUUAUCAGGUAGUUGAACUGCUAUUUUUACCAAACACUUUAGUUAGCUUAUCAGCUAUCACCUAUCAUUUAAAAGCUAUCAACUAUCCGCUAUUUUUACCAAAGAGAACCAUAGAGCUUAGAAUGAAAGAGAUAAGUUAGAUUCGAAAAAGAAAAAAAGCAAGCUAUGAAAAAUAAGAAAGAGAAUUAUAUUGUGUGUGAAAAAAAGAAGGUAUGUGAGAGCGUUACUUGUGUUUGAGAUGUUAUAUGUUUUGGCUGAAUUGAACAGACACAUUUGGACAACUGCGACACAAAAACCUAUCUGACUACGACAAAUCCAUGUCCCUUCCUUACAUGUAUUUAUUGCCGUCGAUGAAAUUAUUGUCGCAGUUGCCCAAAUCAGUUAGUGUAAUUCAUCCAAAGCUCCAUAUGAUCUCAACAAUAAACAAUAUUGUUGAAGGUAAAGAAAUUGAUUGAUCUCUUGAAGGAAAGAGUUGAAAGAGGAAGAGCCCUCUCACUCAUGGAAUUAUUAGCAUUUUUUUGCUUGAUGAUAUAACAACCAAUGCUAAGUAUUUAUAACAAGGGUUUGUUAAUUUAUGGCUGGGAUUGAGUAGCAUGAGAACAAUGCAAAUCAAAUGGUGGGAGUGAAACAUUAUAUGAUUAGUACUAAAUGUACCAUUGAUGAAAACUGGUCAAUGUUUCAACCAGACACCCCAUUUACAUUUUUUAUUUAAAUAAAAGUAAGUGUAAAUUAGAUUUUUUUUUUAACAAACAUUAGCUUAUUUUAGUUGGUAGGGAUAUUGCAUAUUAUAUGCAGGGGUCGGGGUUCAAACUCCAGACACCCUAUUUCUCCACAAUUAAGUUGUGUGAACUCUAACCACAAGACUACUUGACAAAAAAGAUCUAAACUCAAGAAAACAAAUAGAAACAAGAACAAUUGUCUCCUAAAAGCGUUAUUAUAAAAAUUUAAAAGGAUAAUACAAUGGUAACACUCAACGAAAUUCAAAGAAAGAAAGCUCAUUCGUGUUACAUAAAAGUCAUCCCUAAUACAAAGAGGAGCAAAGUCCGAUUAAAUAAAAUCAUUACAUAUUGUCAGGGAUAAUUGACUAAAUUUAUCGGCAUAACUCAUGUGAGAAACUCUAAAGCAAAAACUUUUGAUGAAAUGACCCAAGAGUGCUUAUAUAAGAUGAUACGGGUCUCUUUUAACUUAACCAAGGUCCUGAGUUCGAAUUCAGUCUUUGACAUGUAACAUUGUUAAAACUUUUAGGGAGAGUUUGCCGCCCAUUUAGAUCCUACAAUACUCGAGGCCGAAUUACUCUCCACAGUUAUGCACGGAGGAUACCCGGUUUACACCAACACAUUUUGUGAGAUUCAAACAAUUUAACUACCGGUUCUAAAUUUGUUAGGGUACCAAUUGUAAGUUAUCAAAGGCAUUAUCAAUGAUCAUGGAAUCACAUUCCAACCAUAAAUUAAACCAACCUAUUUAUAACUUUAAAUUAGUUAAAUGAGAUGAAACACAUAGAAGGAUAUUGGUCUCUAAAAGAAUGAAAAGUAUUUACGUCAUCCAAAAUCUUAAAUAUAUGUCAAGUUAGUUUCUUUUCAUUAAUCAAGUUUAAAUUAAGUCUUAUGCUUGGAAAAAAAUUUCAUGUUGAUUUAAGUCUUUGAUUUUUCCAAUCAAGGUAUGUCAUCAGUGCAGCAUUUGGAUAAUUUGUACCUAUAACAUUGAUUAAAAAAUAUGAAUAAAUGCUAGAGUUCUUUGGUUAAUAUGCAAUUUUAUAACAACAAUAUGAUACAUAUACUCUCUUAAUUUUUCAAACACUUAUCCAAUAUAUCAUUUCAUCUCUAUCUCUUCCUAUCAAAUCGCCAACAUAUUACAUUUAUCACCUUUUCUUUAUCUCUUUCUCUCAAAGUGUAUACACUUGAUAUGAGGUUACACCAAACAUUUUUCAUUUUAGAAUUAGUACAUUUGGUAAGAAUGAGUCCAAUAGAAGGAAAGCAUAGAUAUUCAAAGAUAAUUGUAAUGUAGAACGAUAAAAAUAUUAAAAGAUAAUUGUAAUGUAGAAUGAUAAAAGAUAAAAAAUAAAAUAAAAAAAAUAAAAUAAAAAAAUAAAAACCAGAAGACAUGAAGCUAAGUUGAUUGAUCAGAUGGAGGAAGAACACUAUACAACACAGUUUCUUGCAGCACAAGUUAACUAGUCUCACUAGUUCAAAAUACAGUUAUAUGACUUAUAUCUAACUUCCAAUUUUCUAGGAUAGUUAUUAUUUAUGAUCCUAUGAGCUUGUACACACAUUAGCUAAGCUUAAACUCUAGAUAUCUAAAAAUAAAUACUUGUAAGCUUUUAUAUUUUAUCAUUAUGCGAAAUUCUAUCACUUUUACUUCAAAUUUUCUCUCAUUUUUUCACUUUUUGAUUAUGGUAUCAUGAGUCUCUCGAUCUAAGAGUGCUUCUUGUGCAUUCAUGGCUCCUCGCAACACUGCCACUUUCUGAUCCUCUUUUGGAUCAAUCUAGUUUAUAUUUUGUUCAUCCUGGUGAUGUACCUUCAUCAGUUCUAUUACUCCUACUCUCAUUGGUUCCAAUUAUCCGUAUAGGGCACAAUCUUAUGACUCUUCUUUAAAAUUUAUCUCUUAUCCAACAAUCAACAUCUGCUACUUCUUCGAUUUUAGUUGGUCAUUUAUCAACUCGUAAGCAAGGUACUAGUUUCACCGAUUCCUAAUCUUGUCAUAAUUUUACUCUAGGCUCUUGGAUCAUAGAUUCAGGAGCUAGUAAUCAUCUUUGUGGCUCUCUAAAGUGGUUUCAUUCUUUCAAUGUCAUUAUGCCACAAUUCUUUCAUCAUGAAAUUUAGAGAAAUAGUAGGCAUGAUGAUUGAUCCAGCAUAUAUGAGAAGAUUUGAAUCAUCUCCAGAAAGAAAGGAAAAACAUUUAUUUAUGUUCAGAACAAUCCAUGUACAUAUAUUUACAUUCAUUUCAACCUAUCACCUUAAUAACAAUUGUUUAUGCAUCUAAGUGGCCAACAUAUGAAUUUUCCUUCAAAUCAGUAAAGAACAUUAACCUUAGUACAUUACAAUUUUCACUAUCCAAGAUACAGAAGGUAUGCAUUUAUUUUUGUUCUUUUUAAUUCAAAUGCUUAACAGAUAGCUGAUUUUAAAUCUCGUCUGUUGUCAAGUUAACUUCCUUGUCACUCCUUGAAAAGCUAACGUCGAAAUUACGUUGUUGAUGGGAUAAAACUGCAAGUGCACGGUUCUACCGAAGUAGUAAAAAUAGAGUAUCGUUCCGAUAGAGAUUUAUGAAUUCAAUUAACUUUCAACAAUGAUUAGAUGAGAGUUCGAGAUUAAAGUUUGGAUUUUUAAUUAAAGUUCGAAAUUCGUAUUCUAUUAUCCAAUGGAAUUUGUAUGUAUGAUGGCUGAAAAAACCUACAAGAAAACUCCUCGUGAUGCCGAGGUGAGUCAGUCGAUCGUCUCCAAUUUAUUAUUAUUGAAUCUUUUGAAUAUUAUUAUAAAUUGAAUUGAUUCCGCAGAAUUUGACUCGAUGGGCUGUUGCUUUGUUACGAUUAUCCUCGGAUCAGUCUUUUCCUGAUUCAUUACAUACCGUUGAAGGUAUUUGCUGUUUUAAUAUUAAUAUUUGUAUUGCCUUGGUUUUUGUUUUGUUUGGAUGAUUCAUUCAUUCAUUCAUCUUGUUCUUGUUCUUGUUUGCAGUCUCUAUUUUAAAGCUUCUUGAGGCUUUUCCUCUCAAUCCCAAAAACUUGGAUGUUCUUUGGCUGCUUGGAAUGGCUUUCACUGAGCAGGCAAUUUUAACCCCAGACGAUAAUGACGCUGCAGCUGUUUACUUCAAACGAGCUUUUCGUCAGGAUCCUUCCAAUCCAUCUUACCAAUUCUCAUCCGAACUCGCUGAUUUUAAGUAUCAUGAGCAAACCCGAGGGCUUUGUCCUCGUACAAAGGUAAUUUCUAUUCUUUCCUCUUUACUUUACUUUACUUUUCAUAUUCUUGCACUAACUUAUUCUUCUUCUCAUACCUUUUUUAAGAUUCGUGGUCCUUCUUGGCCUUCUUCUGCACAAAAGGUAACUAGACAUUCAAAUUUCUCUUGCUAGCUAAUAUUAUGUAAUAACAAUAUAAUAAUGUUACUCAUUUACCCUUUCUUUUUAUAGGCUCAUGAUCAGGGUAAACAUGCCAAAAUACAUACCCAUGGAUUAAUUCAGCAAUCAUCACCGGCCAUCUCCUGCUUCAAAGGUAACAAGACAUACACUUGAUCUCCCCAAUAGACUUUAUAUGUUUUUGUUUUUGCACUUUUUUCUGAUAGGUCUUGAUUCCGUAAUCAGUUUAUAUGUGUCUUUGUGUUCACUUUUCGCCUAAUCUAUUUUGUUAUUUUUCAGGCCCAAAAACAAAAAUACAAUAAUCUGACAUACUUAGAUGCGUAACCCUGGCUGUUGGCAUGGUUAAAUUGGCCGAGUUUGCAAAACACCACCGCCUAUGGGAUAAGUGAAGCCAUUUCAUUUGAUUUGUACAUUGUUGGUUAUUGGUUAUUGAGGUUGGCAUGGUUAAAUUUCAUCUCAUUAUUGUAGGAGAAAUAUAAUUUUAUAUGUAAUCACUAUUCUCAGUCAGAGACUAGUUUUUGUCUUAGUCCUCAGAACAGUUAUUAUUCAGCCACUGUCUAUUCGGAAGCGAAACAAAGUUUCACCAAUGCUGAAGUCAGUGAGUGUGUUAGUGUUGAUGAUAAGUCCUGUGAGAGCGCGAUUUUUUUUUUUUUUUUUUUUUUCUGUCCCAGUUUCCCAAAACAAUUCCACUUUUGACCCCAUAUAAGAAUUAGAUUAUUAGAGAAUUAAUGACAUAAAUGAUCCACUUUUACAUUUUUUUUUUGUCCUGUAGUGGGCCAUUACCGCCAAUUGAAAUGGUGGGAAUGACAGAUUUUGACACGUGUCAAGGCCAGCCGUUUUUUGUUUUGUCUUGUAGUGUAUCCAGAGGGGGUCAAACCAGGCGCGUAUGGGACAUUAUCAUUAUGUGUUACCACUAAGCCAGUGUACAUUUGAUGUUAAUUUUCGCAUCCAAUAAUAUAUAUAUAUAUAUAUAUAUAUAUAUAUAUAUAUAUAUAUACAAUUUUUAAAACCAGAUUCACACGAGGCAUGAACCAUCCAAUUUUUCAUUUUUCUUCCCUAAAAAAAAGAAAUUCAGUUUUGUUUUUUUAAUAUAAGUAUAUAAAAAAAUAAAUAUAGGGUCCCUAUAAGCUUACCUUAUUUUGUAAGGGAUAAUGCACGAUAUGUGCAGGGGUCGGGGUUCGAACCCCGGGCACGGGCACCUCACUUAUUCAUCUUUAAGGUGAAUUUCUCUAGGCUACUUGACAAAAAUAAAAUAAAAAAAUAAAUAUAUGAGAUUUUAUAAUUUUAAUUGAAUUCUGGUUUUUAUUUUGAAAAAUUACUCGAAUAUGAACAAAAUCUAGAUUUUAUUUUGAAUAUAUAUAUAUAUAUAUAUAUAUAUAUAUAUAUAUAUAUAUAUAUUAUUAUUGGAUGCAAAAAUUAACAUCAAAUGUACAUUGACUUAGUGGCAACACAGAAUGGCAAUGUCCCAUAUGCGCCAUGUUCGAUUCCCUUUGGCUUAUGUUGAUUUUUCUCACAACAUAGAAUGCAGAAUGGCAACAUCAAAUCUAGAUUUUUCUCAAUUUUCUGAAUACACUACAAGACAAAAGUAAGUUUUUUUUGCCCUAUGUUGAUUUAUAUGUACCAAGGUUUGCUAGACUAUUCUCAUGUUUCACAAUCCUUGUCUAAAUUUACUUGUUCAAAUAUCAAAACUCCACUUUCGUUUUAUGAAUUGAUAUUUGAGAUGAUGGAUUAACAAUUAUCAAACCCUCCACUUUCGCUUCUACAUAAGAAGCUAGGGUUAAUUCAUGUUCAAACGGUGAAUUUAGAUUAGAAACUAGGGUUAUAUAAUAUUAGGGUUUAAGGCUUGAUUUGAUUAGGCAUUAUACUUAUCCAACAUUCAUUGAACUUUUAUUCAUUGUAGACAUAGAAGAAAAGAAGAACAUAAAAGUAAAUAAUAGUAAAAUAAAGGUGAACUUUUAUUCCAAGAACAAAAGAUGAAUUGUUAUGAUAGCUAGCUACUUUAUUUAUAGUCUUAUUUCGACUUAAAACCUAAGCAACUAUUCACUAUAAUGUUCCACAAGAAAUCAUGGGCUUUUAGGUCAAAAUAGGUAGCUUGUCUCUGAAGCAAAAGCAGUAAAGGGUAUAAUGGGGCGCGCCACUUUUAUAUUAUUGUACAAGAUCUUCAAAUUCUUUGCACAAGAUAUAUUUGGUAUGAGAUCUUCAUAUUUUUGGCAUGAAUCUUUGCACAAUAUUUUUUUGCAUGAGAUCUUUAUAUUUUUGGCAUGAAUAAGCUCCAAUUCUCCUUUCUUUUGCUUCAAGACUCCAUCUUUCAAAUAUUUGUUCCUAAAAUAAAAUAACUUGCAAUUGAAGUAAAAUAGUUCUAGAAGGAAAUAAAAACAUCUUGAAUCUAGUUAAAAUAAACUUAAAUGUUAAAUAAAAGACACUAAUUAAUGACUAAUUAUUGACUCCUCAGUUGUGACUUUUUGCUUUUAAUCUUAUAAGGUGUUUGAUAUCCAAUAUCUUCCACAGCUCCAACUGUCUUGAAUAACCGUCUUUUGUUUACCUCUUCAACAAGUGAUCGGUGAAGUAAUUGGCUCCUCAUAUCAAUUAGUGACUUAUUCCUCGUUAAUAUACGAUUCUCUAUCAUCCUCUCACAUUCACUUGUAGAAGGUUCUUGUGGUUUAGCUAAAAUUUUGCACCGGUUCAAAGUGAGUUGAUCUUCACCAUGUGAAAACCUUGUACACUUGUGACUCAUGAUGGGAUGUUUAUUGUUUCUUGUAGAAGCCACGUUAUGAUACUGGUCGUCCACAGAACAAAAAUUCAAGUCGGAAUAUGUAUAUGAAGAGCAUAACGAGCUGUCAUAAUCAAACGUAUCAUCUACAAAAACAGUUUAUCAGGUCAAUCAUUUCAGGACAUCAUUGAAAUAGGACAUCCACAACAUAGCUUGUGAAGGGAAAAAGAAGACGUACCAGGGUGCCAGCGAUAUCCAUUUGAUAUGUCAUCAACUCUAUUGACUGCACCCGACAAUGAUUCUUGUGACGAUGAAACAGAAGAGACAGAGGGAAAAUGAUGAUAACGACGAGGACUUGCAUUAUUCUCGUCGUCUUGAUAACUGUUCGUCCUAUCUGGAAGUAGCAUUGAUAUCUCUGCUUCAAUCAUAGUAGCAAUUUCAGAAGGAUCCCAAUUUGUGAUGUCCAACUCUUUUACCAUCUCCUUCGCAACAUCAAUUGGGGUGUCAGUGAAAAUGUCAAAGGGGAAAUAUACAUUCCUAGCAGAACCUGCAGGAAAAGAAGAAUAGGAAACGUUGCUGCGGUUAAAUAGGACGAAGCAUGUAGUCAUAGAGAUUUAAAACAAAAUUUUCUCUACAACGAACCAGAUAUAGCUUUGAGUAAUAAGAAAACAUCAGGUACCGUUCUUGUCAACAAUCUGCACUUUGAGAAAGAGAGCAUCACCGUCAGGAUUUCGCUUCCUAGUUAUUGACAUUGAAGCCCUAGCUGAAUCGCCCCUCAGUUGAAGUUUAUCCAUUUCAGUGUAGUUUAAAAAUGGAUCCUGCAUACCACUUACUGUUAUCGAUGAUUCAUCAUCAGACACAAGAAAUGGAUCAUGCAACAGUUCUUUUGCUGAUGGUCUCCUUGCUGCAUUUACUAGGCAUUUUCCAAUAAACUCUCGUGCUUCUGCAUCUUCAAUUCGGAAAAGUGUUGCUGGUAGCUUACCCUGAACAUUGAAAGAUAGAAAAAAUACUUAUAUAUUAUUUCGAGUUUACUAGUAUCAUUAAACUUUAAACCAAGUUCUUAAUUUACCGAUGUCACUUUCUUGUAUAUUUGUGCCGGGUUAGUACACUCACUAUAUGGAUAGUCUGAUGUCAUAAUUUCCAAAACACACAUGCCAAAUGAGUACACAUCAACAAGUUCAUUGUAUUCUUCUUCGUACAACUCUGGUGCCAUGAACUCCGGAGUUCCUGCCACAAAAGAGAAAGUAUUAACACAGAAUUAUUAGAGCGGCUCACUACUUGCAACAGAAGAUGUAGCCUAGUAAUAUGAGUUGCCGAAGGAUAUCAAAAUAAGUACCAAUAACACUGUGUGCCGGCUGCGAACCACGAAGAAUCGCUGCUAGACCCAGGUCACCAAUUUUCACUUGUCCAAGAUGGCCAUUGACAAAUAUGUUAUCGCACUUGAGGUCUCUAUGAAUUACCGGAGGAUCAUGCUCAUGUAGAUAAACAAGACCGUGUAAGAUUUGGCGAACCCAACUCUUUAUUGCUUGCAUGUCUACAUGCUUAUAUUUCUUCCUGUAUCUGCAAAAUCCGAAAACUUAUCAAUUACUGAUUAAACACAAAACUAGUCAAAAAAAAGUGAAAUAGAGAUUAUGUUCAUGUGGUUACUCUCUAAGUGUUCCAGAAGUGAACAUUUCUGUAAUGAAGUUGAAAGUUCGGUUGUCGACAUCAAUCCACGAGGUAUAGAAUUGCAUGAUGGAUUGGUGUUUGAGGUUACUGAGGAGAUGAACCUCUAAAUAAAGCCUUUCUAAGUCCUCUGGCGUACGAAGUGCUUCAUUGAGUUUGACUUGGUUCCAUGCUAUUUCUAUUCCAAGGACCUUAUCAAUGGCUUUAUACACUAUUUUCAUUGCCCCUUUUCCAAGAAUACCUCCAACCUGUCCACAUGUCAGUGUCAUAUUCGGUGUUUGCCUCGGUGCUUCAUAGCUCACGAGCGCCUCACAAAAAUGUUAAAAAUUGUAUCUCAUUCUGACUCAAAAUCUAUGUAGCACCGACACUUCUGAUUUAAAGGUGUGUCCAUUGUUUGACAUGUGUAGGUGCCAGACACUGACACGACACCGACACACAUGUGUACAUUCAAAUCAUUCAUUUACUAAAAUUAUCAUCAAUAAUCUAACGUGUCAGUACCAAUGUCGUGUCUACUGUUCAUAUUUGUGUCGGUGAUUUUUAACCAAAAACUCCCAACUAAACUAAUUUCAAUAACCCAAAUUCAAAUGAAAUAGAUUACAAUCAUCUCAACAUAUCAAGAAAAAAACACAAGAUUAUGAUUUGAACUUACCUUGGCAUAGCGACCAGUUGGGUCAGUUUCCAUGUAACUAUGCUCAGCUCUACCAUCGUUGUUGUCCUUUUUAUGAUCACAAUAAUACAUGUUGAAUUCUUGAUCUUAACUAUAUAUAUAACAAUAUGAUUAAAAAUAGAAAGAGUUUAAAUAUAUGGUAUUCACCUAAAACAGAAAUAGAAAGAGUUUAUAUACAUGCAGUAUUAUCAUACUCAUCUUCUUUACAACAACAAUAACCACGUGUGUUGACUAGUAACCAAGCAUAAUCCUUGUUAGGAACCAUCUGCUUUUUGUUUUUGUUUUUUCUUGUUCUUUUUGAAAAUGAAAACUAUAUAUAGAGAUUUAUUUGUCACAAUUAACAGAAAGAUUUUAUAUAUUUGCAUUAUUAUUAUUAUUAUGGUUAAUAGGUCUUUACCCCUGUAAUAUAGGUCAUUUCUGGUUUUCUCCAUGUAAAAUUUUUUAUUUUGAUUCACCCCCUUAUAAAACAUUUUUAUUUUGAUUUACCCCCCUAAUAGGUCAAACAAAAAUCAAUUUUUUUUUCAAGAAAUUUUCGUUUUUGUUUGGUCUAUAGGGGGUAAAUCAAAAUAAAAAUAUUUUAUAAGGGGGUGAAUCAAAAUAAAAAUUUUACAUGGAGGAAAAUCAUAAAUAACCUAUAUUACAGGGGUUAAAGUAAAGAUCUAUUAACCCUUAUUAUUAUUAUUAUCCCAUGCAUUUGAUGAAAAAUGAUUUUGCAACAUAUGCGAGUAACUUUUUUAUCAUUUAAUUAAUAAGUAACAUUAUAUUUUAUUUAAUCAAUACUAAAAUUUAUUAUUGAUCUAAUAAUAAAAAUUAAUUUGUAUAUUAUAUGAGAUUUAUUUUAUUUUUGCAUCAUAAAAUUGGUGGGAAAGUGGAGGGUGUAAGAUUUGACAAGGGACAAGACAAGAAGGGAAUAAACGGAUAAUUAUAUUGCUAUGAAAGUGACAUUUUGCCCUAACUACCCUUUAUACUGCAUGCAUGUUUGAAUGUCGAUCAGGGUUAGUUUUGGACAUUCACAUUAUAAAGCACAAGUUUUGGUGAUAGUUGCUGUAGAUACGGAGAGAUCAAGAAGUAGUGCACGUAACUUAGAAACUAUGGGAAUACUUUAUAAUAAGCAUUUAAAUAUUUUUUUUCAUGAGUAGAAAACUAUUGCAUUUCAUUAAAUAGAAUGUGUUCAAUAUAAUGCGGUAUUUCUACAAAUAUUUGGGAGCUAAUUGAUGAUAAGGCUGCUUUAGUUAAACUAUUUGUCUCCGCACAAACUCAACACGAGAAUUUUUAUAAAAUUGUCAAAAGAGAGAUUUACAAUUAUCAAUUAUGUUCCCGAACUCUGUGACUUCAUUAUGACGGGAAUGAAAGCUAUCAACUACUCUCUUCGCAUCCAUCUCAAAAUCCACCGUUCCUAAUUGCAGCAAAUGAGCCCAGUCCAUAGCAGAUAAAAGUCCCAACGCUUCUCUAAUAUGGACUUCACAAAUGGGGCUGAAGUAGUCUGUUCUAGCAAGUACAAAAUGUCCAUUUUCAUCUCUAAUACACAUUCCGAUGCCAACUAGAUUAGUUGAUUCUGAAAAUGCGGUGUCAAUAUUACACUUAUAACGACCUAGACCUGGUUUUAUCCAUAUUGCAAUGCUUGCUGGCUGCUCACUGUUGACAGAAUUUUUCUGUAUCAUUUUUGCUGAAAUCCAAUCCUGCAGCAAUGUUUUGGUCAAAAACAAAUCCUUGAAUAAGCAUUUAAAUAUAAAAUAAAAAACUGAACUUAUAUAUAGCAAAUUGCAAGAUUAUAUUAAAAAAAAACACUUUUAGAUUUUAGCUUAGUUGUAUUUAUUUAUUUUUAUCCAUGAACUUAAUUCAGUUGUUAGAGACAAUAUAUAAUAUAUGCAAGGUUUGGAGUUCAAACUCCGUCCACCACAAAAAAAAAAUUAUUUUCGUACAAAUUUGAAUGGUUCAAUUUCAAGCUUUUUGUAUACAUGAAUCGUACAACAUGAUAGGGAAAUUGAAUAUGGUUUUAAAUUGUGGUCGCUAUUGUGGUAAAAUGCACAAAAGUACGAUUAGGAUUGGUGCAAUAAUAUUCGAUAGAUUUGAGAAAUAUAGUAGGUUUGAGCUUGUCAACUUAUCCUUAACUUUCUCAUUUUUAAGAUUGUUCACUAUCAACUAUACAAAAAUUUCAUAGCUUAUGCUCAACUUUUUCACGGUUGCCAUGUUUUGUAACAUUAAUGAGGCAUAAAACAAAUUUUAAUAAAUGAGUAUUUGUAGGACUUUUGUUUAUAAAAGCUAAUGAAAAAUAUUUUUCUAUUAGUGGGCCUAAAACAAGAAUUUUAAUAGUUUUAUCAUUGGAUCGACAUUAACAUGUAUGUUUGAAUUGUGGUUGGGAUAUAAAAAUUUAGAGUCUUUUAUCUAAGAUCUUUAGAAUAGCACACUCUAAAAUUGUAAAUCAACACAAAUGGAUUAAUGAAUGAUAUUUUUCUUCCUAUAAUCUAAAACCAAAUUCUAAUCCAUUCAACGACUCUGCAGUAGACUAUACAAUUAAACGAAUCUGUAACGCACAUUAGUAAUCAUGGACCACAAAUAUGAUUUGUGUCAAAGGAUGACAAGUUUGACUUAGGGGACUAGUAUGUUCGAGCUCUUAUGAUUCUAUGGCUUUAAUUGCAUCCAUGUUUUUUUUCAUUUUGUAAGGUUUAUUAUUUAUUUUUUUAUUUUUACAAUAUUUUGUAAGGUUUUGUUGUCGCAUAAUAUACUAGUUUGGAUAGUAAUAUUCUAUAUAUUAAAAUCUAUCUGAUAAUUUCCAAUGCUUAUCCAAAUCAUAGGAUACAGUGCCUUUGAUGCAUAUUGAUUUGGCUUAAAUAUACAAUUCGUUGCGUUUUGAUUUUCGUCCUUGUAAACAAAAAAAUUUAAAAAUAUCUCUGUAAAAUUUUUGUUUUAAAAAGGUCCCUGACCCCACUUUAGUUAUGAUUUGGUAUGGUUUUGGCCACGUGGCAUGCCACAUAAUUAAAAAAAAAAAUCAAUAUUCUUAAUUUUUUUUAAAUUAAAAAAUAUGAAAAAAAUUAAAAAUCAUAAAAAAUUUUGGAAAAAACUGUUAAAAUUAAAAAAUUUCGAAAAACUAAUUUCCAGAUUUAAAAAAUAAUUUCCAAUUUUUUUUCUUCAUCUUUGAUAAAAAAUUGGAAUUUUUUCAUGAUUUUUUUAAUCUUUUUUUAAUUUAUUUUCAGUUUUUUAAUUUUAAAAAAUAAUUUUCAGAAUUUAAUUUUUAAAUUACGUGGACUGCCACGUGGCAAAAGUUGCACAGUCAGCAAUUUCCACGUGGCCAAAACCAUCCCAUAUCAGCAAAAAAGUAGGGUCAUAGACCUUUUUAAAACAAAAAAAAAAUUAUAAGGAUUUUUUUAAAUAUUUUUUUACAAGGACGAAAAUCAAAACACGCCCAAAUUACAUAAACGAAAUGCAUAUUUAAGCCUAUUGAUUUAUGAGAAAAGGGCACACUACAAAUUUAUUUGAGUUGCAACACAAGUUUUUAUCUUAUACUAGUAACUAAUCCACCAAUAAAUUGUAAUAUAAAAUUAGUAAAAAAUCAAAUUACCCUAGGGUUCAAACUUUUAUACUUUAAAAAUUUGCAAUUACACAAAAAAAAUCUAAUUGUUUAUGUCGUGUGACUUAGGCUGUGUUUGGUAACAUAGAUAAGCUAGCUUAUAACUUCUUGGACUAGUUUAUAAGCUUGUUUUGAUAGAAUAAGACGUGUUUGAUAAAAAUCUUUUCCCAUUAGGUUAUAGCGUUUUUUGAAAAAUUAAUUCAAGUAGCUUUUGAGCUUAUAGUUUGUCGCUUUUUAUACUUUCAUCCAAUUUUAACCUUAUUAAUUUAAUUUUAUUAAUUUUUAAUAAACAAAACUACCACGUUCUAACCACGUUUGAUUUCACUUUUUUUUUUCUCAAGGAUUUCACUUUCUUUUAUUGGACGUUUUAUAACACUUGUUUUAAGGAACUUUUUAAAUGUCAUCUUACACUUUUUAUAUACUUUUGUUGUUCCAUAUUUUUUUUUUUGGUUUACAAUAAAUAGUAAAGCAAUUUUAGUUAAAUAAAAUUCAUAAAAAAAUUGUUCAAUAAAAAAUGUCAAAUUGAAUUCAUAAAGUAUAUUUUAACAUAUUGUCGAUGAAAAUAAUUAAAAAUAAAUACAUUUAGUAAAAAAUAUCAUGUGUAAUUUAUGAAGAAAAAAAACAAAAUAAAAACAUGUCAUUUUAUACUUAUCAGCCACUUCAACAACUAAUUUUACCAAACACAUUAUUUUUAAAAAGUGAGAUUUUCAGCUAUAAGCUAGCUUUUCAGCUAUCAGCUAACUUAUAGCUUAUUUUUACCAAACAAAGCCUUAGGGGGUGUAUUGAAUUGAGAAUUCAAGGGAUUUUAAAAGACUUUUUUAUAAUAAAAAAGUCUAGUGGUAUUCAAUCAAGACUUUUAUAAAAUGUAAACAAAUCUUGUGGUAUUCAAUUAAGACAAUCAUGACUUUUUUUUUUUUAAGGCAACAAAAUCCGUUGGUAUUCAAUUAAGAUUUCUCAUGACUUAUGAAUUGUCUAUUGGUAUUCAAAAGUCUAUAGAUUUUAAUAUAUUUUUUCGUAUAAUGGAUUUUGUGAGACUUUUUAGUUAAAAAUACACAUGAUAUGCUCAUUCAAUAAUCUCACAAAAAACCUUGAGACUUUUUGAGACAUCUAUAUUUUUGUUUUUUCUUUCCACACUCAUAGCCUAUUUUUAUUAUUCCUUCAUCGUAAUUACUCCUUAUUCACAAUGCAGUUGCUUCUCAUUGUUGUUCAUUGUUUUCUCUUUCCAGCCCCCUGAGUUUUUAUAUUAUUGCUUCUCAUUGUUGUUCAUGUUCCAGUCAAGAAAAUAUGUUGAUGUGCAUGUUACUUACUAAUACUAAUUGUAUUUCACACUAAUUAUAUUUCAUUUCACUAUUAAUAUUACAGAUUCAUAAGUGUAAAGUUUUUUCAAGUCAAUUUGUAAUUCUAAUUUAUUAUGAUUAUUUGGGUUUUUUUAACAUAUAUUUUUUAUUGUUAUUAUUUUACUAUACAUUAACAAGGAAGGCAACAUUAUGUUAUUUUGUUGUUAACCAUAUUACAAUUUGAUAAUUGUUCUCAUUCACUCUUGUAAUAUUUAAUUUUUCUUAAGAAUUAUACAAUCCAUUCAAUCUUAAAAUCUCAUAAAAUCCUUUGAAAUCUUAAAAGUUUAUAUUAUAAAUUCAUUAAAAUCCUGAUUAAAAAUCUUGAUUGUAAAAAGUCCUUUGAAUAAAAUCUUUUAAAAUCCAUCAAAAUCAAUAUAAUCACACAAAGUCUUUUAAAAUCUCAAUCCAAUACACCCUCUUAGUUUCUAGACUAACUUUUUUAUUCAAGAGAGUGCGUGAGAGACAUGAGAGGAAAAAGAAUUUCACAACAUGGUAUGGAUCCCAUAGGCCAUGGUCUAACCAGCCUCUUUGUAGUUUGAUUUGGGGCUUGUUUAUAAACUAACGAAAAUUAUGUUAUGUCAAUUCAUAAUAAACUUAUGAAAAAUUGUUUAUGUUUUUAAUUCAUAUGUAUAUUAUACAUUAUACUAACGAAAAAUGUAUUUUUAUAAACUAUUUUUUCAUAAACUACAUCGACAAACAUAUAAAUAAUACAUAAAAAAUUAUAUACAAAUGACCUUUGAAUUAUGAUUUUAAAUUAAACAAAAUAUUUGAUCGAAUACAAUAAAACAUUUUUAUAUUAUAAAGAAACUUUUUAAAUCCUAAUUGAAUAAACGCUUUAUAUACUCAUUAGCAAUAGUUAGUUCAUAAAUAGUUAGUUUAUUACUUCACAAAUAGACAAUGUGAUUGAUGUUAGGUCUUGGAGGAGCGUCCACAUCGAGGUUAGAACAAUCACACAAGAGAGACAUCACACUCUAUCCCAAAACUUUAAGACAAUGAGUUUAUGAGUUCUCUUAUUUAUAAGGUGUUCAACCUUUACUGUUUUAUCCGAUGUAACACAUAUAACUCACAAUUGCACACCACAACAAUUGAACCUUUCAAAUUGAUCGGUCAUUUGAUCAAAUAUAGAUAUUUUUUAGUCAACAAUAGUUCUUUUAAAAAAAAAAUGAUAAACUUUGCAUAUAUGGUAUGAUUUGAAGGAACAUGAAAGAAAGUAAAGUGAAGUUAUGUGUUAACUAAUUAACUAACUUGAAGUACACGUGGGAGUGCCCCAAAAUAGCUUAUAUGAACUCGUGACCACACGAACCUGGUUGGACCCAAAAUUGAGUUAUUAAUACCAACAGAAUUUGAAGAUUGCAUCUUACGAUUUCAAUUUUCAAAGAUGAAAAUGGUUCUAAUUUACUCUUCUUGUUCAAUUCAACACUAUUAUUAUACUCUCUAACGAACAACUCAUUCAUGCUUCCUCUGUUCUUCAACUGUUUCGCGCCAUACAGGUUUCUUCAUUAUCCACCAAUUCCAUUCAAUUCAAUUUCAUUGUUAUGUUUUCAUUUUCGCUUUCUUAGUUGCAUUUUAUUCACUUUGUUAUCUCAUCAUUGAAACUUACCUAAAUUAUUAAAUUUUAAAAUAAUCAAAAUUCAACCGUGAAUAGUGAAUUCAUGUUUGAUUCUCUGUCAACAAAAUUGAUUUUGACUGAAUUGAUUCGUUAACUGACUUAUGUUUGAAUACAUUUAUGUAAAAGUCAACAACAAAUUUUAGUGUAAUAGAAUCAAAACCUUCAAUUAUUAGCUUUAAGUUUGAAUCAAUUCUGUAUGCAAAAUCAAUUGUAAUAGAGAGCAUAAAUCAAUUCCACAGGCUCUAGAAUCAAUUUUGACCCCUCCAAAAGUGCAACUGAACAUUUUGGUGAGUAUUAUACAAGGGUAAAGAGUCAUUUUGAUCCCUCAGUAUAAGGCACUGUCACUAUAGUCCCUAAAUGUAUAAAAAUCGGAAACACAUCCCUAUUGCUUCUUUUGUUUGUAAUUUUACAGUCUAAAUUUACCAAUGGAAAACACAUUUGAAGACUAAACUAAAUACCUUAAACCAGAUUCGAGGACCAAAAUAACUGAUAAAAGAGACAUUUGUGGAUGUAUUUGCAAUUUCGAUACAUUCUAGGACUAUAGUGACAACGCCUCACACAUUUAAGUACCAAAGUGCAUGUAUACCCUAUUAUAUUAUUCACUAAAUUUUUAAUUCUUCAUGAGUAGUUUACAUUACAUCAAUUUCCAAUAUUAAUCAAUACUAUUUAUAUGCAUGUUUCUCUCGGUCUCUUUGUGUACACCAAUUUAAAGAAGAAAGUUGUAAAACUGUCUUUGGGGGGCUCAUUUACAAUCAACCGGAUUGGUUCGCUACCGGUGUAAAGCUAAGAAUGUGGAAUUUGUUGAUAGUUAAUAUUUAGAGCGAUUCUUGGUUAUGCUCGGAGCCGCUUAUGCAGAUUUUUCUGCGCUUGUACGCAGUGGCAGGAGAUAAAGAUUGUACUGUGGCUGAAGCUAGUGCUGGUCUGGUGGUGUUUAGAGUUGGGAACUGUCAUGGCGCCGACCUGUGUUCAGUUGGGAAGAGCAGACUUAUGCAGAAUUGCUGGAACUGUUGACUGGUAUUUACCCAAACAGAGGGGCUAAGGAUUCGUUGAUCUGAAAGUGUGAUGCGGUUGGAUGACACACUGUCAGGAGUCAGGACGGGAUACUUUCUGCAGCAGCAGUCUUUCCAAAAUACAGCAAUUGACCAUGAUCUUAGCAAGGCUUUGAGGUAAAUCUGGAGUAGUGGUGUUCCAUCGAAGAUCGACCUUGUGCGAAGGCUGCUUAUUGACAGAUUACCUACAAGGAUCACUCUGGUGCGAAGAGGUUUGCUAGAUUAAACGAGGAAAAGCAGUUCUGUUUUUUGUUUUCGACAUGACAAAACCUCACAGCACCUAUUUUUUGAGUGUUCCUUAUCUUGUAGGGCGUGUUCAACAGUCACCUUAAUGCACUUUAUGUAUUCAGAGCGAUGAUAAGAAAAAGCUGAAGAAAAAACGUUUCUUAAUUUGGCACUACGAUUUGGUGCAUAUGGGUGAGGCGAAAUAAGAUUAUUUUCAAAAGAGGAGUGGCAGAUGUUCUAGAAUUAUUGAAUCAUAUUAUAAUGGUGUCUUUGAGUUGGGUGGUUGCUCACAGUGCAGGAAGGUUGGGUUUCAAUUUUGUAGACUGGUUUAAUAACCCUUUAGUUUGUCUUGGUUGCAUUGUCUAGCUUUAUAACCCUCUAGUUUGUAACGUGGAGUACCCCUUGUACACCUAUUAAUGGCACUUUGCUUCUAAAAAAAAAACAGAGAGAAGAAAAUUGUAAUAAUAUCCAUAAUUAAUAUUCUCUGUCUAUGAGGUGUAGCUUCGUGGAGGAGCUUGAUCUUAUAACCUCAAGGGAUAUAGUUGCCAUUUGUAUCACUUUAAUUAAUAAUAAAAAUAGCAUUUGCCUCCACCUUUCUCUUGCUUCUAAUUAUUUUAGCUUCUUUUUGUUUUUUGGUUGCAUUUUUGUAAGAUUUCUUGAACUCAAUAUCUCUGAAUUUGUUUGAUUAAGUGCUUAUUUUGCUAUUGAUAUUUCGGUUCUGAAUUAUGAUCCAAUACAAUAUUUGACAGAGCAUCAAGAAGCUGAUUUGAAAUUUAGAGAGAGAGAGAGAGAGAUAGAUUUGAAAGCUGAAAAUGACAAUCGGAGCUCUUGCACCUGAUGCUCUUGUAGCUAAUGCAAACCCAAGGAAGAAAAAGGAAGUUGUUGAUGAAAAUGCACCUUUGUUACCUAUGUGUCAAGAAACAGAUGCUGAGUUUCAUGAAUUCAAUGGAGCUUCAUUUCCUGGGGCUGUUUUCAAUUUGUCCACCACAGUUAUUGGUGCUGGGAUCAUGGGCUUGCCCGCUUGCGUCAAAAAGUUGGGAAUGGUACCUGGUCUUCUUGCCAUAAUCCUAACAGCAUUAUUGACAGAGAAGGCAAUUGAGUUCAUGAUCAGGUUUUCGAGAGCAGGGAAUCUUUCUUCCUAUGGAAGUCUUAUGGGAGAUACCUUUGGGAAAUACGGAAAAGCACUGGUAGAGAUAUGUGUUAUAAUCACUAACGUUGGUAUUCUGAUUGUUUACAUGAUCAUUAUUGGUGAGACCUUAUUCUUAAGUCUAGCACUGAAAAUUUGUAUGUCUGGACUUUUACUGUUAUGACCAGUUUCUGUUUUAGUUGAUUACUCACCCAUUUAUCUGUUUAGACGAGAACUUAAGGUUGCAUGAUUCAGUUUGGUUUUGUUUGUAUUGUAGGUGAUGUGAUUUCUGGAACGACUUCAGGUGGAAUUCACCAUCCUGGUAUCCUUGAAGGAUGGUUUGGUGUCCAUUGGUGGACUGGGCGCACAUUUGUUGUUGUUUUUACAACACUUGCUGUGUUUGGACCUUUGGUCAGCUUAAAGCGAAUUGGUGAGUGUGUAUACUUUUCUUGCAUUAUUUGAUGUGAAAAAUAGAAAUAUAUUGUUGUGUCACUUAGAUUAGAUGACAAUGUAAGGAAGAUGACUCAAACACUGGAUGGUAUGGAUGAAAGUUUCCAUUUCUUUUUAAUGGUCACAAGAUCAAUAAACAAUUUGUUGAUUCCAUCUGUCCCAAACUGUGUGAAGAAAACUAGAGAUGCAAUAUGGAAGAGAUUUCAUUCUGUUCCAUCCUAUUUUUUAUGACCAAACAAUUACAAGUUUGACAAUCUAUUACUUUUAAACUUCAAACAUGUUGCAAUUUGAUACCAACAAAUUAAAAAAAAAAAUGGAAAUUCAAAAUGCAUAUACUCGGUAUUCAACAUUCUAUUGCUUUGAUACAUGUUGCAUUUUCAUACCAACAAAUUGAAUCCUUUAUGCAAUGUUAUAUUCAGGUUAUGUGAUAGGAGGAUGGUAGUUGUCUAACCACUGAUAUAGUUAGGAUCAUCCUCUAAAACCUAUGUUGCAUGAGUACUCUAAACUCUCGAGUGCAAAUUGGUCUAGUAUAAAAUCAAGUUUUGUUGCUAAGUUGUUUGGUUUGUUACCAAAUGAAAUAAAUUGCUACUUCACCCCCUUUCAUAUUUUUGCCCAAGUGAAUUAGAACAUUAGAUUUAUAUUAUCAUUUUAAUACUUGCUUUUAUGUUUUUGUACCUUGGUUUUACGUGUUUUCUGGUACACCUGUACACUGCCGGUAUCAAUACCAUUGCUCAACUAUGUCCAUGCAACACUUCUUUAACAAAUUUAGCUGCAUUAUAUGUGGUUGUUGCAGAUUCAUUGAGAUUCACAUCUGCAUUAUCAAUUGGAUUAGCAGUUCUUUUUCUCGUCAUUGCUGGGGGGAUCUCAAUUAUCAAGAUUAUUAGUGGACGCAUUGGGAUGCCCAGACUCUUCCCUGUCAUUACUGAUGUAGAUUCUGUUUUUGAUCUAUUCACUGUAUUUCCUGUGCUGAUGACAGCUUAUAUCUGUCACUACAAUGGUAUGAAAUUGUUUGAAACCUUUGCUUAAUAAUCGAUUCCCUUGUUUUAAUGUUUUUACUCAGAAUUGACUUGUGAAUUUCUAAGUUUCUUAUGGAUUUGCAUGAAGAAGGUUGAGGUCUUCUGACUACUUAUUCCAAAACCAUCACUUCAUUCCAUUUCCAACUAAUUUGCAAAGAAACCAUGCAUGUCAACUUUUUAUAUGCUAUAAUGAUAUUGAUUCCUUUGCACUGCAUUAGUCUCUUUUAUGAAAAAAUAAUUAUUUUAUGAGCUAAAAAAAUUGAAAUUCAGCUUAUUUUAGUUAAUUUCUGGUUAUGCACCAUUAGUUGGAACUGGGAAGACUAAAAUUUGUUUACUUCAUGGAUGUAUUGUCUGAUUUUUGCAUUAAUUUUUGUGUGUUCUUUAUUUGCAGUUCAUAACAUUGAUAAUGAACUGGAGGAUUCCUCACGGAUGCGUGGGGUUGUGCGUACUUCCCUUACUCUAUGCUCUUCAGUAUAUGUACUGACAAGCUUCUUUGGGUUCCUUCUAUUUGGUGAAGGAACUCUUGAUGAUGUGCUUGCCAAUUUUGAUACUGAUUUUGGAAUUCCUUUUGGUUCUGCUCUUAAUGAUGCUGUUCGUUUUAGCUAUGUUGCGCAUCUUGUGCUUGUAUUUCCUGUAGUUUUCUAUGCAUUGAGGGUCAACAUAGAUGGUCUCAUAUUUUCCUCUUCGAGAAGGCCUUUGGUUGUUGAUAACUUCAGAUUUGCAUCAAUUACUAUUGCCCUUGUUGGCACUAUCUUCCUCGGGGCAAAUUUCAUACCUAGCAUUUGGGUUAUUUUCCAGUUCUCUGGAGCAACAGGUGCUGUUUGUAUAGCAUUCAUAUUUCCAGCUGCAAUCACUUUGAGGUGAGUCUGGUCACUGAACUCAUUUAGUUCUGUAAUGGAUUUUUUGGUGGUUUUACUGUUUGCUUUAGAUAUUUAGUGGAAGAGAAGUAAAAAAAAAUUGAAACAUGGUUAUAUAAUCGAGAUUCACAAGGACGACCGAUUUUCUGAAUCAUGUAUGGAAUCUUAUUAUUAAUUGUAAGAUACAUUAGCAAUAAAAAUAUGACAUUUUAAGUAAAUACAAGCAACAUAGCAAACUUAUAAACUAAUAUUUCAUCUACUAAUCUCAAAAUAAUGUAAGAUUCAACUCAUAAAUCAAAUGAUAAAAAAGUGGCUGUUUAUACAUAGUUGUCAGAAAAGAAGUGGCUGGCUAUUCUGAGUUUAGGUAGUGAUUCAUUCUAAUGAAUCAGGACUCAUCAUAAUGAAUCGGACUCAAGAUGAGAUUCAUUUCCAAUAUAGAUAUAGAUAUACAAUAAAGAUUCGUAUCAAAUGGAUUUAAUUUUGUAUCAAAUCAAAAUACGACUCUAUGGAUAGAAAUAAAAGUUUGAUUGAUUUACGUCAUUAUAGGAUUUUGUUCUUUAACUUGCAUCGAGACAAAAUACCUAAAUAAGCAUUCAUGAAGGACGGCAUUAACCUAGUUUAUUUGGUAAAUACUAACUGGAUUUCUAAUUAUCAGAAUCCAUUAUAUAGAAAAACUGCAGAAAAUGGUGAUAGUUGCCUUGUACCAUGUGACACAUCAGCCGCAACAUUGAUUAAAUACCUUUAACGCCCCUCAGACGAAGUUUUCUACGACAUUGAGAUGGCCAUUGACAUAUGGUAGCAGCAUAGAAGGCAGAGAGCAAACCCUAAGGCAAAACCCUAUCAGAGCCCUUUUUCUCUUCCAGGAGGAGGGCCCCCCCCCCACAAUAUUUUAUUUCAAGAAUUCUAAGAUACUUAUCAUUCUCUUAAGUAGUUUUAUAGACGGUUCUCUGUUCAUGCUUUUGCAUAUGAUUAUUCAACUCAACAAUUAUCAUUAAGCAUUUUCUUUUCCUACAGGGAUCGAUACAACAUAGCAACUAAAAAAGACAAGAUUAUGUCUGUCCUUAUGAUAGUGAUGGCGGUUUUUUCAAAUGCUGUGGCUAUAUACAGUGAUGUUUCUGCUUUGAUCAACAAGAAGGAAACUUAAUGUGAGCGAUUCCUUGAUUUGAUAGCUCACAGUACAAGUAUUUCCAUACUUUCAGAUGAAAGGAACAUAAUUUCUGAUGGUUGUAUAAAAUUAUUUUUUUGUGAGGGUCUGAUAGGUUGAUUAAUAUAAACAAAGCUACCAUAUGUGCAUAUAUUCUUCAAAACUGUGUGAUGGCCUGCAACAUGUUCAACGUUGGUUAUAACAGAGUAGAGUUAUAACAUCACAAAUCCGAAGCUGUAUACGGACAUGGUAUGAAAACAAACUCAACCCAACUGUCGACAUGAUUAAAAAAUAAAUGAAAAACACAAUGCUAUAUUUAUCCGACUCCGACUACAUAUUUGUUGCCAAAAUAUCAUAUUUCUUUUGUAACAUGCAAAAGCAUCCCAGAAUAUAGGAUGCAUGUUACUAAAGGGAUGUGCCGGUGGUUGUGAAAGAAUGGUCAAGUUCAAGCAGUUUUGGACAAGACAAAUAAAUUGAAUUAUGGAUUUGAACAUGUGUGGCUUGUUAAUAGAUUGUUUUCUAAAUUUUCCUUGUAAUUGAACUGUUGAUGCACUUCAUAGUAUGGCACAAUUAUAUAUGUUUUCGUUGAUUGGUUGUAAGAAGAGGUUGAAAAGAGAGAAAUAUGUGAAAAUGUAGUAGUUUUGACAUAAAGUGUGGUAUAAGAGAAAGAGGAGAGAAGAAAUAGAAGUGAAUCGAAAGUGAGAAGAGAGUUCACAAAAAUGCUGAAAUUGAUAGGUUGGACACCGUUGGUUUGAACUCUGACUUCUCCUAUUUGUGUGUGAGUUUUUAGUAGAUGUUGUCAUUUUGUCUAGUUAACAAAAGUGACUAGAAAAUUAUAAUUAUAGUUGAAAAGACUUAACUGUCCUUAAUAUUAAACAAUCAACAUACAAUUAUUUUAUAUUUCUUAAUUGAUUCGCUUUGAAUAGUUUGGUAUGUUAAAUUAAUUUUAAAAAAGAACAGCUUUAUCGUAUAAUUAACUUUUAUAUAAAAUAUGUAUUUUUCUUAAUAAAAUAUAAUAUAUUUAAUUUUCUAGUUUUUCGUUUUAAAUAAAUACAACAAUCUUUUCAACAUAAAAUAUAAACAUAAAAUAAUUAAAAAGUCAAAUAUAUUUCUCUACUUCUAUCUUUUCAACCCUUUACUUUCAAUGCCUCUCUUAUGUUUUUUAUGGGACAUAUAUAUAACCAUAACUACAUCCUUCUAUAAAAAAUCCUAUUUUUUAGUACAAAAAUUAUUAUCUACUUUCUAAUUCAAAAUUCAAUGAAAAUAAAAAAUGCAACUGUCCAAACCGCUAUCCUUUAACUUUAAAGAGUUUUGUCAUUUAUUACUAUUCUAUUAGGUUCAAGCGACUAGUUUCGACAGUUGUAUGUAGAAGGUAUUGAUUCACGCAAUAAAAUAAGUUAUCCUUUGACAAAGUUAUCUAUAAAAAAACAUUCCAUUGCAUAAUUGAGAAGGUAUUAUAUUAAUGCGUAUUUCUUUUUUAUUAUAUUUAAUUGACUCACACCAACCAAUGAUAACAACAAAUUAUUGUCUUUUGUCUUCUUUCAUCACUACCACUCAUUUUCUCUUGCUUCUAAUAUAAUAUCUUGGUUUCAUUGGCUUCUAAAUCUAAUACAGUAUUUGGUUUUAUUGACCUUUAAUGUGUAUCAAAGGUUGCUAUAAAGUUUUGAAUAUAUUUUUCAAGCUGAAAAACGGGUUUAUUCAAAAAAUAAAAAAGGAUACUGCAUGAAAAGUGAAAAUGACUAUUGGAAUUCAUGCACCUAACUUAGAGAAGAAAAAAUCAAGGAAGAACAAGACAACUAUUGAUGUAAAUGCACCUUUGUUACCUAAGACACAGGAAAGUGAUGUUAAGUUUGAUGAAUUUAAUGGAGCUUCAUUUUCUGGUGCUGUUUUCAAUUUAUCAACCACAAUUAUUGGUGCUGGAAUUAUGGGAUUGCCUGCAUGUGUGAAAAAGUUAGGGAUGGUGCCUGGUCUUAUUGUCAUAGUCCUAACAGCUUUAUUGACAGAGAAGUCAAUUGAUUUCAUAAUCAGGUUUUCUAGGGCAGGGAAACUUUCUUCCUAUGGAAAUCUUAUGGGAGAUGCCUAUGGGAAAUACGGAAAAGCGUCGUUGGAGAUAUGUGUUUUAACUACCAUCGGUAGUCUGAUCAUGUACAUGAUCAUUAUUGGUGAGACCAUAUUCUUAAGUCUAGACUUUUACUGUUAUCAUUAGAGAAGAAUUUAAGGUUGUAUAAUUCAAUUUUGUUUUUGUUCAUAUUGUAGGUGAUGUGAUUUCUGGAACAACUUCAAGUGGAAUUCACCAUGCUGGUGUCCUUGAAGGAUGGUUUGGUGUCCAUUGGUGGACCGGGCGUACAUUUGUUAUUACCUUCGCAACAUUUGUUGUGGUUGCACCUUUGGUCAGCUUUAAGCGGAUUGGUGAGUGAUAUUUCUUUUCUUGUAUUAAUUGGUUUGCAUAUAGAAACAUAUAGUUGUGUCAUUUACCGAAAUGGCUAUAGAUUAGAUGACCAUGUUAGGAAGAUGACUCAAAUGCGGGACGGUAAUUGUAUGGAUGAAAGUUUCCAUUUCAUCGUUUGUAAACUAAAAAAAAUGGUAAACAAGAUCAAUAAACAACUAGGUGGUACACAUGGUUAUUUGGAAUUGAUGCUUAUUUGAUACACAUGAUUAUUUGCCAAUACUCACUUUUUUCACUCAAGUACAAAUUGGUCUAUCUAUGAAAUCAAGUUUUGUUGCGAUGUUAUUUGGUUUGUGUCCAUGUAACACUUCUAUGACAAAUUUAGCUGUAUUCUCUGUGAUUAUUGCAGAUUCAUUGAGAUUCACGUCUGCAUUGUCAAUUGGAUUAGCAGUUCUUUUCCUUAUCAUUGCCGUAGGGAUCUCAAUUAUCAAGAUUAUUAGCGGCGGCAUUGGGAUGCCAAGACUCUUCCCGGUCAUUACUGAUGCAGCUUCAGUUUUCGAUCUAUUCACUGUAGUUCCUGUGCUGAUGACAGCAUAUGUAUGUCACUACAAUGGUAUCGAAUAGUUUGAAACCUUUCUCUUAAUGUUUUUAUUUCUCUCAGUAGACUUGUAUAAUUAUAAGUUGGUUAUGGAUUUGCAUGAAGAAGAUUAAGGUCUUCUGACUACUUAUUCCAUAAGCAUCACCUCAUUCUAUGUCCAACUAAUCUGAAAAGUAAGCAUACGUGUCAAUUUUUUAUGAGCUACAAAAUUGAUUUUCAGAUUAUUUUGGUUAAUUUCUGGUUGUGCAUCAUUAAUGAGUCAAAACACGGAACACUAAGGAAGUGUUUUUAUAUACUUGGUUGUUCAUUCUAUGUUACCAACACGACGAUUGAUAGUAUAAAUUUUUGGUUUAGGCUUGGUUUCUUAAUGUGGUUGUAUAAUCCACAAGCUGAUUCCACGUACUAAUAAACAUCGGCAACUAUUGCAAAAGUUUCGGUUAUGUGGGAGGAUGACAUCAAUGCAGUUAGCUAUAUAGAUCCACUUGUUUGCUUCAUAGAUUUAUUAUAUGGUGAUUACAGUGUGUGCUCUUUGUUUUCAGUUCAAAGCAUAGAGAAUGAACUGGAGGAUUCCUCACGGAUACGUGGGGUUGUGCGUACUUCCCUUACUCUAUGCUCUUCGGUGUACUUACUGACAAGCUUCUUUGGGUUCCUUCUAUUUGGUGAAGGAGUUCUUGAUGAUGUUCUUGCCAAUUUUGAUACUGAUCUUGGAAUUCCCUUCGGUUUUGCGCUCAAUGAUGCUGUUCGUUUGAGCUAUGCUGCGCAUCUUGUGCUUGUAUUUCCUGUAAUUUUCUAUGCGUUGAGGCUCAACGUAGAUGGUCUGAUAUUUUCCUCAUCAAGAAGGCCUUUGGUUGUUGAUAACUUAAGAUUUUCAUCAGUUACUAUUGCCUUUGUUCUUAUUAUCUUCCUCGGAGCAAAUUUCAUACCGAACAUUUGGGUUAUUUUCCAGUUCACUGGAGCAACAGGUGCUGUCUGUAUAGCAUUCAUAUUUCCAGCUGCAAUCGCUCUGAGGUGAGUUUGGUCACUGAAUUCAUUUAGUUCUGUAAAUAUGAUUAAUCAACUCAAAAGUUAUCAUUAAGCAUUUUCUUUUCCUGUAGGGAUCGAUACAACAUAGCAACUAAAACAGAUACGAUUCUGGCUAUCCUUAUGAUAGUGCUAGCGGUUUUGUCAAAUGCUGUGGCGAUAUACAGUGAUGCUUAUGCUUUGAUCAACGAGAAGAAAGCAUAAUGUGAGUGAUUUCUUGAUUUGAUAGCUUACAAUACAUAUAUUUCCAAACUUUCAGAUUAAAGGAACAUAGCUACCAUGUGUACAAAUAUUCUUCAAAAGUGUGUGAAGGCCUGCAACAUGUUCAACCUUGUUUAUAAUAGAGUAGGGAUAUUUGAACAUCGCAAGUCUGAUGCCGUAUAUGGAUGUGGUAUGUAAACACGCUCAACUCAACUGCCGACAUGACUGAGCGAAAGAAAAUAAAUAAAAAUACCAAAUUGUAUAUUUAUAAUAUACGGUGUCCGACACCAUAUUUGUUGUCAAUAUUUAAUUCUCUUGUAAUAUGAUCUUUAUUGUUGUAAAUGUAGAGGUUCUUAUUGAAUGUGCCUCCAUUUCCCAGACUUCAUAUCCUUUAUAACUGCAAGUGAGGUAUUUGCUGGCACUUGUAUACAUUAUUAUUUGUUGGGUUUCAUCACAAAAAGAAAUUGAAUAAUGGAUAUGAAAAUGAAUGACUUGUUAAUGGUUUGCUUUCUAAAUUUUCCUUGAAAUUGAACUUUUGGUGCACUUUUCUAAAUUAUACUUAUGUAAUCAAAAUCAAGUGUUUAGUUGAAUAUAUAGUACCUUAUAGUGCCUGAUGGUGUUGCAGAGGGGACAAAAAAGAGAAAACUUUUCAUAUUCAUUGUGCCCAUCUAUGAAGCAUAGUCACUCCUCGGAUUGGGCGUGUCCCGAUGUCGGAAAUGUGUCGUGUCCGACACCGACACGACACCCACAUUUGUAAUUACACUGAAUUAUGUGAUUUUUUCAAAUUAUUAACUGUGUCGACGUGUCCGUGUCAUGUCCGGUGUCCGUGUCCGUAUCUGUGCUUCAUAGGUGCCCAUUUUCUUACGGUAAACCACGUACAUAGGUUCAGCAUUGAGCAUGAGAUUGCAUUUGAUUAUUAGGACUAAAAAAAAUCUGGCGACCAAAACCAAAGUAUGCACAAAUUUACUUUUAACACAUCAACAACCCAUACACUCCUCAAAUCCUCUAGAACUACAAAGCUAAAUGCAUAAUAGCCAUUUCCUAUAGUGAUCAUCUUCGAUUGUGACAAAGGAUUUAAUAGCAUAGCCUGUAUAACUUAGCUCGCAGGUCACUAGUUUUUGAUAGGUAAAUCUACUUUGGGGAGCAAUAUGCAAUGAAUUUCUUUUGAAACCUUCAAUAACUCUUUCCUACUCUUCUUCAAAAAACUUGAUUGCAAUUGUUGACAUGAUAAGUGAGAUUUAGAAGUCUUACUUUGGAUGAGAAAGUAGAUAUUGAGCAACAUAUAAGUUAAGGAACCGAUAUACCUAAUUUCUUGAGGUUUUUGGUGAAGAUAUGAUGUCAAAACUUACUUGUGUGGUUAUUCUUACUUCAACGUAAUGACUCACUCCAAUGUUUUAAGGCUCUCUUGGAACUCCCAAGAGUGGUAUCAAAGUCUGGUUCACCUUAAUGAAGGAGUAGGAGUUGUUCUUGGUCUUGAAUAAAGGAUGCGGAGAAUCUCACACUUGAAGGAGAUAACUGUCGAUGGUACAUAAUAAAUAUAAAUUUUGAACUCAACCUAUCCUGAUGAAAUUUGAUUGGAUUGACUAACAUGUUUGAUCAAAACUGAUCCAAACCACCCAUAAAACACCACUUACAUGAGAUGGUAGUUCACAAGACCUGGGCAGCCAUAUGCUUUUAAUGACAUAAAAUGAACAAAAUAAUUAGUAUAAGAUUUGUUUGGUGAUGACACAUUCAGCACGUGACUGGAAUUAGAAUUUUUUAUGAACUUCAAAGCACACAAUUGCAUUAGGAACCAUAACUUCCUAGUAUAGGACAUGGUGUAAAAGGUUAGGUGAAGAAUCGGGGAGAGUAAAUCAACUCCCUUAUACAUGAAAUAUUGUCACAUCUAGUUGUAGUAAAUGAACUUCCCAUAUGGUUAAUGAUUAAGAAUAGUAAAAGAAUCACAGAUUCACUAUCUUUAAUUGCAUCAAUCCUCUAGAAAAAAAUAUAUUGUGUUUGCAUAUUUUGAUUAUAGGUGGUCUUGAAAAUAUCGCUCUUAACAUGUUGACAAAUCAUUUGAAAUUUUGAUAGAAUGUCGAAUUUGACAUUUUUUUUGGAGAAUGUUGAAUUCGCUGAUAACCAUAAUAAGCAUCUUGCUCCAAAGAUAAUUGAAGGACAUUUCAUCAAACACAUAUCACAAAUUUAUAAGAGUGCACAGUCAGGAACUAAUUUGGAAUUUUGAUAAUCACAAUAAGUAUUAAGGGAAUAUUGAAGGACUUAUUAACGAAAUAUUUUAAUGAGAUAAACUAUUUUGAUUAAAAGAGAGCACAAUCACAAACUAAUUUAAAAUUUUGAUACAUUCAAAUAUUAUUAUGACCGCCCGUUACACAUAUCGAGAUCAAAAUGACUAUUAUCUUCGUAAAAAAAACAAAAGGUUGUGGCAUAAUAUAUAUACCCCUUUUUAGGAACCUAUCUAUACAUAUAUUCUAUUAUCUUAUAUACUUAUCUAUACAUAUAUAUCUAUAAUAUUAUUAUAUAUAUAAACUAGAUGGAGGAUUUUGGGUUGUAUUUUGAAAAUUGUUGUUGACGCUGUAACACACCUGUAAAUGACUAAAAUGACCAUUCGGUAGUUAACUAUCGAUGCAACGAACUGGUGGUAAUUAACUGUUGAUGUAAUGAACCGGCGGUAGUUAACUACCGAGGUUCCAUCGGCAAUUAACUGCCGAUGCUCUGUUAUAAGAACAGAACGGCACAUAGGAAUUUCCAAAACUCCAUUGUUGCAGUAUUGAGCUUCAAUGUUGCGAUUUUCUCCAACUUUAAGCCAUUCAACGCCAAUUACAAUCACAAAAUCAAAUAAGUGCUUAUUAUCCUAUUGCAUUGACUUUUUUUUUAUUGAAUUGUUACAUUUUUUUGGAUAAAUUGUCACAUAAUUAGGUUUUGUUGAUUUUUUAUUUUAUGAUGUUAGAUGUUUAUGAUUUGAUUGAAUUGUGUGAUGUUGAUUCGAGUAGAAAUUGUUGAUUAGAGUUGAAUUUAAUGAAUUGUUGUAGAAUUGCUAGGAAUUAUUUGAAAUUCUUAGGAAUUUUGUGGUAGAAUUUUUAGGAUUAGUGUAGGUUUUGAUCUCCGAUACGUUACAUUACAUUAUAUUCUUCCUAAAUAUGUGGUAUCAUCCGAUGUUGGGUUUAAAUUAAAUUGUUGAAAGUUUGCGAAAAAUAUCGGCAUUAAAGUGUCUUAUACUAAGUGUAAAGAUUUACAGCACCAUUUGAAAACUCAAAAGAAUGGAUAUAACACAUGUUGCAUUCUACAAAAUGAGUUGUACAAAUUUUCCCAUCAAAUUCCCUCAUAUGAGUAGUGACAAACAAGAAUGCAUUCCAAGAGGUUGUUUUGAACUUAAUCUUACUGACAAAUUUCAAUUGACAGAAGAGCAUGAUCAAGUACAAAACAAUAUCUUAGAGGUGCAUUCCCUUAUGUCACACUCAUCUUAUAUAAAGGAAUCUGGUGAAAAAAUUUGUACAACCAUUAGGUAGAAUACAACAUAUGUUUUAUCUAUUCUUUUGACUUUUCAACUAGGCUUGCGAAUCCUUACAUUCAGUAUAAGACACUUCAAUACCAACAUCUUCCGCAAAUUAACAAGAAUUAAACUUAAAUUCCAACAAAAUAAGACACUACAUAAUAAUGAUGCUACCUAAACAUAAUCUUAUGGUAGAAUCAAACUCUUGAGAAUAUCUUCAGGCGAUCUCAGCAAUGUAGCUUCCAUCUCAAUCCUCGGGAACAUGCGUUCCUGAUAAUAUUUGGAGAACAUGCUCCUCGCGUAAUCAUGAUCUGUCAGCAUUAUCUUUUCGGUCUGCAAACAACCGGGACGUGUAUACUGAAGGUUCUCCACCAUCAUUCUGUCUUCGGGGUUGUGUCCUUUAUUGAUUUCGUUCAGUUGAUCCUUCAGAUCCUUUAGCGUGACAUCGACUCGAACCUUGAACAAAUGAGGGUUUCUACCGUUGAAACGUACUUGAGCUUUGAACAAAUUGUCCGUUGUUUCAGAUCUACACCAUAAGAAAUUAAAUAAUCUAUGAAAAACUCAUUCAAACAUUUCAUCAAACACUUGAAGUACAAAUUAUACACAAACCCUAAAACUUAAAACUACAACAUAAACAUGCAAACAUACUUAAUCAACUUAAAUCUACUCUAAAAAUGAUUCAUAAUAUCUUACUUGCAAACAUUUAAUUCAUUUUUUUUUUUUACAAAAAACAACAAAAAUUAAAUCAACCUAAAACUAAAAUUAUAUAUAAAAAAACAAUUAUAACAACUAAAAUGUAUAAUAGCACUAAGAUUUUGUCGAAUAAAUUUGGAUGAGAUUUUAGAGAGCUGUUGAGAGAUUGAGUCGAGAGUGAUAAUAGAUGCGAGAGUAAUGGUUCCUCCUGAAAUUUGUAGCAGAAAUCGCAUCGAUAGUUAACUACCGAUGGACUCCGCGAUAGUUAACAAGAAUGAGGGGCAAUAAUUGUUCAACCGCGGUAGUUAACCGCUGGUUAGUUCCUUCGACAUUGUUUUAAGUGUGGACAACAAUUUUCUUGUAUUUUUCAUUAUUUCAAUUACUCUCCUAAACAAAGUUUCCUAUAAAAAUAUAGAAACAUUAUAAUGUAAAUCUUUAUUAUUGUGAUAUUAAAAAAUAUAGGGUUAAAUAUGUUUUUAGUCCUUAUAUUUUGCACCCCUUUGAAGAAUAGUCCCUACAUUUCAUUAAAUGUUUUUAAAAUCCCCACAUUUUAUUUCCGUUAUUAAAAUUAGUCCAUGUUGUUAAUUCUCUAACGGAAUGCUGAUGUGACAAUUAGCGUGUCUCAAUUAUUUUAGGGUUAAAUAUGUUUUUGGUCCCUAUAAAAUUGAGAACUUCUAAGUUUAGUUCUUACUUAAUUUUAAUAGGUUUUUUAGUCCGUACAAAAAAAAAAUUACUUCUAAUUUUAGUCCCUGUUACAACAAAGUUUGUUUAAUUAUCCUUAAACUCUUAAAUUUUUGUACGAUUUUUUUCAGACAAGUUUAGAAUACUAUGAAAGGUUCAUUAACUAAAAUUUAAAAUUUUUUAACAUGAAACGAAUUAAAUAUGAAUUUUUUAAAACGGAAAAAGUUAAAGAUAAAAUUAACAAAAUUUGGAUGUAGAAAUCAAAUUUUGCGACAAUUUUUUGUAGAGGAACUUUUAGUAAUGUUUUUAACACGUCUGCAAAAAAUUGUUCAAAAACUCAAGAGUUUAAGCAUAAAUUAAACAAAUUUAAAUUGAGGAAGGACUAAUACUGAGUGCAGAAAAAAAAAUUAGGGACUAAAAGAAUUAUUAAAAUUAAGUAAGGACUAAACUUUUUUUUUUAGAGAAAGUAAGGACUAAACUUAAAAGGUCCCAAUUUUACAGGGACCAAAAACAUAUUUAACCCAUUAUUUUAAGGUUAAAUAUGUUUUUGGUCCUUACAUUUUACGUGAGAAAUAGUCACUACAUUUUAAUAACUGUUUUUAAAAUCCUAAAAUAAUAAGCCCAAAGAAAAACUUAGAAAAUCAAUUUAGUGUAGUCUAUAGAAAAUAAAUUAAAACAACUUUUAAGCCCAGAGAAAGAAAAAAAGAAAACUCAAAACAACUGGGUCCUUGGGAUAGGGGGAGACAUAAGUUCCUAUAAACUUUGAUAAGGAAAAUUAUAAUAUAUGUGAGAUCGAGGAUCACCAUAUAAAAAAGAUGAGACAUCAAAAUAUAUUGAGUCUCAAAAAUUAAGUUGUCCCAAUAAAAAAUUCUCAUGACUAAAUGUUUGGUUUUAGUUUUCUCAUAGACUAAAUUGAAUCUCACAUUUUUAUCAUGAACUUAAAUGAGUUUCACUUGUGUGUAUGGGAAUAGAACAGUGAACAGAUUAUUUUGAGUUUGAUUUGUAGUGGAAUAUGAGUCCCCAUUUAGAUUCAGUUUUUCAAUCUCCUUCAAGCAGUAGAUUAACUUAUUUUCCUCUAUCUUUUCCCUCGAUCAUUAUUAGUGUUUUGUUUUUUGUUACUUUGUUUAAGCUUUUUAAUAUUCUGACUGCUCCGUUUGUUCUUACAUUGUUUAGCUUGGGUUGGAUAUUAAACAAGUCCCACGUAGGAGGGAACAAAGAAAACUAAUGUGUUUAUAAAUAAUAAAGAGUUUGAUGAGUUUAUGAGUAUUCAUCAUAGACAAUUGUAAAUGUAAAAUGAUGAAUUCCUUUUAUCUUAAUCAUGUUUUGAUAUGUUUUGAUCUUACUAAAAAAAUAACAUUAUUUUUUCGAAUUCCUAUUAACCUAAUCAUUUUUUGAUCUUGCUCCAAAAAUAACAUUAUUUUUUCCACACACAUGUUACACCACAUGUUUUCAUCUUAAUCCAAAAAUAGCAUUAUUUUUUUUACACAUGUAUUACAAAAUGCAUUAAUUAAAAGAAAGGGAGGUGUUAAAAAAAUAAUACUUUAGAAUAGUGUAUAUAGUAUUAAUUGUAAAUGUAAAAUGAUGAAUAAUAAUUAAAAGAAUAGUUAAAUAUGUUUUUAGUCCUCACAUUUUCCACCUCUUUGAAGAAUAGUCCUACAUUUUAAUAAAUGUUUUUAAAAUCUCUAAAAUAAUAAAAAUUAUUAUUCAAAAUCGCGCAAAAUGUUGGGAUCAAAAACAUAUUUAAUCCUAAAAUAAUUGGGAUUCACUAACUGCCACACAUUCCGUUUAAAAAUUAACAACAUGGAACUAAUUUUGAAAACGGAGAUAAAACGUGAGAAUUUUAAAAAUAAAAACAUUUAAUGAAAUGUAGGGUCUAUUUUGUGUAAAAUAUAAAUAAUUAAAAACAUAUUUAAUAAAAAAAUAUAAAUCAAUCAAAUAAGAUAGUAAUAAAAGCUUAAUUUCAUUUUUGUCUGAUUUUCUCCUGUUGGUUCAAUUUCAACCCUAGCCUUACUGUUAUACUUUCUCAUUCUUGUGAAGAGGAAUCGAUUAUAAAGAGAAGCGAUUUUGGUGUAUUCACGAAAUGGGUUUUGAACUUAAAGUGACGAUACAUUGAAAAAGCGAAGAGAUUUCACACUUUCAUAUUCAGAUUCGCUUCAUUCUCCUUGCAGGUUUCGUGGAUUCAAUCAUUGUGAGUUUUGUUUUUGUUAUUUAUUUGUUCCAUUAGUGCUUAUGAAUUCUACUUUGAAAUUUCGCAAAUAGUUUUAAGGCCUUGUUUGGAUGAUCACCUUUAUUUGCAGCUUAUGAAGAAUCUGUUUGGUAAGAUAUACAUUUGAGUCAAUGACUUAUAGCUUAUAAGUUUGUAUGAUUAAAAAAGACACAUUUGGUAACUGUCAUUUGUACACGAACUUCUAACUUAUUUUCAGGAGUUUAUAGCGAUCUUUGAUAAGCUAUUCGAGUAGUUUAUAAAUGAUCACUUGUUAUCUCAAUUUUACCCUUGCAAUCUAAAUUGAAAAAACUAAAUAUUAAUUAAAUGUACAUUUUUUUUAUGUCAUUUUAUAUUUAUAAGUUACUUCAACUGCAAAUUUUACCAAACAUUGCAGAUUCAAUGAGCUAACUUUUCUGUUAUUAGCUAUAAACUAGCUUGUAAAUCAUCUGCUAUAAGUUCAUCUGCCAUAAGUUAACUUAUCAGGUAUCCACCAAUUUUACCAAACAGAGCCAAAGUCAAAUUGUUCAUUUAAUAAAGCUUAACUUGAAAAUUGUGGAACUGAGAGGCCUUGUUUUCAUAAGUGCUCUCAGACAAAAUCACAAAUGCUUAUGCUAGUAGAUAAGCUCGAAUAAGUCAAUCUAAAUAGACCUUAAAUCGUGUUGUCUUCACAGUUUUUGAUGUUGUGGAGAAUGAUGCUUAAGUGUGACUCAUUUAUUAUUGUGGUAGUCUAAGAGGGCUUCUCUAGUACAUAGUGACUAACUUAGGGUCCGUUUGUUAUAGAUUAAAAAAAAGACUUUUUCUUUGUAUUUUUCAAAAAUAUUUUUUUUGGAAAACUUACUUAAAAAUAGUAUAAGUUAUUUCAAACUUACUAACUUAGAUAUUCAUUGUUUGAGAUUUUAAAAGAUAAAAAUCCCAUAUCUUUUCAAAAAGUUAUCUUUCAAAAAACAAAUUAUGAAAAACUAUUUGAAAUAGCUUCUUAUUAAGAGUUUUUUUUUUUAAAUUUAUUAUCCACAAAAAGUCGUAGCAAAAGGAUGAAAUGCUUAAAAUGACUUUUUAAGAGAAGAUGUUUAAACCAAUUUCUCAUUAGAAGCUUAAACACUAUAAAAAUCUAUUUAAAAAAAAAAAAAAAAAAAAGACAAAUCUUAUUUUCUGUUAUGAAAUUGUUCUUUUCCUUUGCCCCAAAUUGUGGUAACUGGUAAUGGACAUCAUUAACCAGCGGUUUGCUUAUGUCAUGUUAACAAAAUUUUGUUUUCAGUUACAAUUUUAUUUUGCAUCUUUGAUGCCAAGAUUCAUGCUUUCUACUAUUGAACUGUUUGUAUUUGUUUAGAGUCUUCACAAUCACUAUUGAUCAUGAUACUGUUUUGUUUGAGCAUAAAUUUUAAUUUUGAUGGUUUUUCACUCCCCCAUACUUGAUUGAUAUGUAUAUCAAAAUCAAUGUCUUAACAAGUAUCAACCAUUUUGCUACCAACUGUUUUGUUUCUAUUACUUUUUUUUUUUCUUCAAUUUUGAUGCCCUGAUUCAUGCUAAUGGUUUAAUACCACAAUUCUUUGCUAUCAUUAUUAACCACAAAAUUUAUUUGCAUAUCUUCAACUUUACAUUCAUUUUAGAUUCUCUCUUGGUGUUAGGGUUUCAGGUUUUCAACAUCAUUUGUCCGAUGGAUAUCUGUCCGAUUAAGAAUCAAUGUCAGUCCAACCCGCCAUUCACGCCGGUGUUGAUUCCUGACGAACUCAUCGUCGAAAUCCUAUCGUUCCUUAGCGUGAAAACCAUCGCACGAUUCAAGUGCGUGAACAAGUCAUGGAACACUCUCAUCUCCAAUCCAACUUUCACCGAAAUGCACCUUAAGAAGUCAUCACAAAACCCUCACUUCAUACUCACAUCAACUCGGAAUCACCCUGUAAAGCAUGUCGUAUCCUUACCUGUGCAUUGUUUACUCGAGAAUGUGUCAGUCACUAUUGCCGGUGACACUUGCCACAAUUCGAAAGAAGAAAGUUGGCAGGUCGUUGGCUCCUGCAACGGAUUGCUCUGUUUGCUUUUCGAUUCUAUCUUUGGCAUACACACAAAGUACUUCUUCUGUUUAUGGAAUCCUGCAACGAGGACAAUGUCUGACGAAUUAGGUUUGUUUUUGGACUAUGAGUCUUUAUUGGGCCCUUUCAAGUUCAGUUUCGGUUGUGAUUAUUUAACUGGAACAUACAAGGUAGUGGCACUUAAUACAGAAAGUAAUGAAGAGAAAGAGACCGAGACCGAAGGUUUAUGGAGAAGCAAGGUGAGGGUUUUCAGUUUGGGUGAUUUUUGUUGGAGAGAGAUUCAAAGUUUUCCUUUGGUUCCUCUUAUCGGGAAUGAUGGUGUGCAUUUGAGUGGAACGGUUAAUUGGCUAGCUAUUCACGGUGACUAUGUUGGACUUUCUGAUGGAGAAACAGUUCAAGCUUCAAUUCCUCACGUUCAGCAAUUUGUGAUUGCUUCUCUUGAUCUUUCAACAGAGACGUACAACCGGCUUUUGCUUCCAAAGGAUUUUAAUGAGGUGCCAUGCGUUGAGCCAUCUCUUCGGGUUCUGAUGGAUUGUCUUUGCUUUUCGCAUGAUUUCAAGAGAACCGAAUUUGUUAUAUGGCUGAUGAAGGAGUUUGGAGUCCAAGAGUCUUGGACUCAGUUAUUUAGAUUUGAAUAUGUUAAUCUUCAAAUGCAGAACAUUCCGAUCAAAGACGACUGGGAUUUACUUGGAUACAUGACAUGUGAUACUCCAUUGUUACCUUUGUACCUUUCGAAGAAUGGAGAUACAUUGAUCUUGACAAAUGAUAAAGACAAAAGAGUAAUUAUCUAUAAUCGGAGAGAUAAGAGAGUAGAGAGAAUUGGAAUUUCCAACAAAAUAAGUUGGUUCUCCGCCAUUGAUUACAUUGAAAGCUUGGUUUCGACUCAUUGGAAGUAAGUUCUCUUCUAUCAUUUUCAAUUGUUUGAAUCUAUGUGUAAAUAUUUCAUAUGAUAGCUUGGGUUGAUUAUACUGGAGAAUGAUUAUUUAUUGAUCAUUGUUAUCGGUUUGGAAAUCUACUGGAUUAAAUGAAUUUGUUUUGGUUUAUAUUAAAUAUAGGCUAGAAGUUGAUUCUCACAAAAGAAUUUGUUCAAAACUCUUGUCUGCAUUUUCCAGAAAAAAGUUAAACACAGGUGAAACUCACAUUGAUCUGGACUUAAAAAACCCUUUAUAACACAAAGUUGAAGGUGGGAUCCUAGAAAGAGGUUGUUGAUGAGCAAAUGGGAGACUUAUACAGGUUCAUUGGACCUGUUGUUCAGUAGAUAGAUCAGAACAAGAAAAACCAUUUAAGUUGAAUAGACAAAGUAAUCCUAAAACGAUGUUUAGGGCUCUACUAUCUAAGUCUUUUAAGCUAUAUACUUGUGGCCAUUUGAUAUUUUUCUUGGUCUAAUUUUACCCCCCUGCAGUGCACACCCAUGCUAAUUUCUAAAGUGAGAAUUAUUUUAUCUCUAUACCUAGUUAUAGUGAUAUUGUAAUAAUUACGCAACCCCGGUAAAGCCUAUGGUACGGGCAUUGAUUCGUGGCCUCAUGGUUGAAGCUAAUUUCUUUCUUUGUUUACUUACGAAUAUAGAUGGACUUUAUCAUUAUGCAUUCAUUUUUUCCGUUUCUGUUUUUAUUUUAUGUUGUGUAUUGUUGGUUCACUUCUAGUCUAAUGGUUUUUAAAUUAUAGGUCAGGAGAUAUAGAGGAAGAGGGAGAUGAAGAGGGGGAUGAGGAGGAGGAGGAGGAAGCGCAUUCAUUAUGAAAGGACGAGGAUCAACCAAGAGACAUUACUCUUGGAGUUUUUGGAGUGGAUGAUUUGUGCUAGAUUAUGAUUAUGUAUUAUGAUAAAAAAAUAAAUAAUAAAAAAAGGAACAAAGUAUGAAAAUAGUAAUCUUCAUUGUCAUCUGGGUUUUUUUUAGGGUUUGAAAACAUGAACUUUGUAAAGCCAGCGCACUUGUGUUUUCAUUUUGACUCAAAAAUGCUAAUAUAUUUUUUGUUUCGAAGAUGUAUGAAGUGAAUCCAUUGAAUUGUUUCAGUAAGCUGAACUCUCAGUUGCUUCGCAGUUUUAAUAAUUUUCCUGUGGUAUGCAACUCAGCUUUUGUUCUUCCAGUUGAACCAUUCUUGAAUCUUGAAUAUGUAUGGACUUUUAAUUUUCACACAUUAUUUAUACAUAUACAUUAAUUUUAAAUCCAAAUAAUAGAAUGAACUGAUCUAAAUCCAAAUUACAAAUCAAAUCAUAUAACUACAACAAGAAAUGCAAAGUUUACCAAUACUUUCCUCCUAUGUUGGAACAAGAAAACUUGUUUGUUCCCCAUAUUCAAAACAACCAGAAAGAUUUACCAUAAUAAACCCCAUCAAAAUCAUGCCAAUGCAAACUCCACUAACCAAUGCACAACAAUUCUUCCCAAAUCCACUUUUUCCUCUUCCUUCUCUUUUCAAUUUCCUACACUUGUUUUCCUUUUCUUUUAAACAAGAUUCAAUUUUCAUACCAAAAUCUUCAAAAGAAUCCUCAGCAUCUUGAAAAUAAAAUGUUCCAAUUUUCCCACCACCAACAUUGCUCUUUUCACCAAUUUUCCCCACCCCAUUUCUUCUAAAUUUCUCAAUAGCCUUCUCACCAACAAUCAUACCAUUCUCAUCAAGUGUCUCAUCAUUCAAACAUGACUCAUUAAAAGAAGAUGUAGAAUCAGAAUUGGAUAUAGAAUCUUUGUCGAAUUCCGGAUUCGAAAAUGUUGUGAAAUGUGAAAUAGAAUCCUUGUCUCUAUCAUUAAAAGAAUUCUUCAAUGAUUUGAACCUUUGGUAACAUUGGUUCAAAUGUGGAUUUGAUGAUGGGUCAGAUGAUUCAAAUUCAGCAUGUAUAAGGUUUGACAUGAAUGCAAAUUUUUGUUCUAUUUCUUCUUGUGAAUUUGGAUCACGUAGUAUUCCUUCAGUGAGAAUUGAUUCGAGUUCUUUGAGUUUUGCUUUCAAAACCAAUUCAGACAUUUUUUGAGUGACACAAAAGUUUUUGUUUUUUGAAGUUUCUGUUACUUGUGUGUGUGUGUUUUUUGGAUUUCAAAAGUGGGUGUUGUGUUUGUGAAAACGGUCUAGAAGUUUUCUAUUUAUAAGUGGUAACCGUAGCACUUGCGUGACAUUGACCAACCACAAUAUCACAAGUGGUUUGCUUUUCUCUCUCACAAAUUUUUUUUGUUUGUCUGUACACUUGUGAUAUUGUGGUUGGUCAAUGUCACCCAAGUGCUAUCCGGUAACUGUAAUCUCUGCAUAUAUCUCAACAUGUAUAAAUAUCUCAUCUCUUGAACAGAUAGAAGUGGAGGACGGUUAUCAAAUUUCAAAAUUAAAGUAUAUGUGAGAGGGAGUAGACAUUGAAAAUGUGAAUGUCAUUAAAAUUCUUCAGGGACUAUAUGCACCUUUUUUUGCAAUUAGGGUUAUGCUAACAAGUAUGCAUAGAAGAAUCAUAAUAAGGUUGCAAUAAAAGUAGGGUUGAUAUUAAACACAAUCAUAGAUAAUCGACUAACAUAAGUAAUUUAGUAAUAGUCAGACACAUUUCAAACAAAUUUAUUGUUCCAAUUUUUUUUUUUUUAAUACGUAAUUCUUGUAAAACACUCUUCUUAUAAAAAGGGACAGAGGGAGUAUUUAUUAAAAUGCUUCUAUUCUUCAACAUUUUAAAUUUUUAAUUAUAGUUGCAUCUUGUUGACUUUGCAAUCAAAUCCUUGAAAAUGACCUACAUUUUAAUGAUUAAACUUGAAACGUGAUGGAUAUUAUAUUAUUGACGCAAAUCAUUGGUGAAUAUUAUAAUAUGCACCCAAUUUUUUUAUUCUUCAUGACUUUCAAUUUCAAUCCAUACUUUUACUAUGCACUCUGCUUUUUUAAAUAGAUAAAAUGGCAAACAAACUCGCACACAACUGCAAGGUUUUAAAGUAGAACUCGAAUGAAAGUGUCCAACUUAAGAACAUCGGCAUUUCUAGUUUAGAUAGGUCGUACGAACCAUCAAAAAGAAGAGAAUUGCAAUAAUGUCUGUAAUUAGUAUUUGUCAUCCAUGAGGUGUCAACUCAGUGGUAAUGGUAAGAGUUUGACCUUGUAACCGAUGAAAGAUAUUUGUAAAAUGAUCAUUAAUAUCACUUUAAUAAAUGAUUAUUGAAACAUAUGUCUCCAUCUUUCUCUUGCUUCAAAUUAUCAUGCCUUUGUUUUGUUUUUCAGUUUCAUUUUCGUAAGAUUUCUUGAACUCAAUAUUUCUAUGUUUGUUUGAUUAAGUUCUUAUUUUGUUAUUGAUAUUUGGGUUCUGAAUUAUGAUAAUAUAGUUUUUGACAGAAUGUCAAAAGGCUAAUCUGAAAUUUAGAGAGAAGGAGAAGACAAUUGAAAGAGGAGAGAGAAAGAGAAACUUGAAAGCUGAAAAUGACAAUUGAAACUCUUGUAGAGAAUAGGAAAACAAGGAAGAAGAAGGAAGUGGUUGAUGGAAAUGUACCUUUGUUACCUAAGGCACAAGAAACAAAUGUUGAUUAUCAUGAAUUUAAUAGAGCUUCAUUUUCAGGAGCUGUUUUCAAUUUGUCAACCACAGUCAUUGGUGCCGGAAUCAUGGGCUUGCCUGCUUGUGUCAGAAAGUUGGGGAUGGUACCUGGUCUUCUUGCCAUAAUCCUCACAGCAUUACUAACAGAAAAGUCAAUUGAGUUUGUGAUUAGGUUUUCGAGGGCAGGGAAUCUUUCUUCCUAUGGAAGUCUUAUGGGGGAUGCCUUUGGGAAAUACGGAAAAAUAUCGGUGGAGAUAUGUAUUGUAAUCGGUAACACUGGUAUGCUGAUUGUUUACAUGAUCAUUGUUGGUGAGACCAUAUUCUUAAUUCUAGUGUUUUAAAAUUAUAUAGAUGUAAUCCGAUUUGGUUUUGUGUGAUUCAGUUUCGUUUUGUUCGUAUUUGUAGGCGAUGUCAUUUCAGGAACAACUUCAAGUGGAAUUCACCAUCCUGGUAUACUUGAAGGAUGGUUUGGUGUCCAUUGGUGGACCGGGCGUACAUUUGUUCUUGUUUUUGCAACACUUGCUGUGUUUGCACCUUUGGUCAGCUUUAAGCGGAUUGGUUAGUGAUUUUGCUUUUCUUGUAUUAAUUGGUUGAAAAUCGAAACAUGUAGUUAGGAGUCACUUAUUAAACAAAUUAUUACUGAAACGGCCAUAGAUUUGACGACAAUGUUAGGAAGAUGACUCAAACGAUGGACGGUAAUGGUAUGGAUGAAAGUUUCCAUUUCAUUGUUUGUAUAUUGAACAAAUUGGUCUAUCUAUGAAAAUGUUUUGUUGCUAAGUUGUUUGGUUUGUUACCAAAUGAAAUAGAGUGCUUGCUACUUCACCACUUUUCAUAUUUUUACUUGACGGGGUUAGAUUUUUUUUUUUUUUUUUUUUAUAUUAAUGAAUUGGAUCGAAAUAUGGUUUGCGAUAGAACAUGAUAGCGUAAUUUGAUCCACGUAGCCGACCCCACUCAGUGGGAUAAGGCUUGGUUCUGUUGUUAUUAGUUUUAAGCCGACUGUUUGUGCUUUUGUACUGGUGCUCAACUGUAUCCAUGCAAUGCAACACUUCUAUGACAGAUUUAACUGCAUUCUCUGUGGUUAUUGCAGAUUCAUUGAGAUUCACGUCUGCAUUGUCAGUUGGAUUAGCAGUUGUUUUCCUUAUCAUAGCCGUGGGGAUCUCAACUAUCAAGAUUAUUAGCGGGGGCAUUGAGAUUCCCAGACUCUUCCCGAUCAUUACUGAUGUAGAUUCUGUUUUUGAUCUAUUCACGGUAGCUCCUGUGCUGAUGACUGCAUACAUCUGUCACUUUAAUGGUAAGAAAAUCUUUUUUCCUUAGAACCUGGUUGCGCUGUUUUAAUGUUUUUAUUACUCAUGAUCUAUGAAGCAUUGAGGCAGACACUGGACACGACACUGACACGUCGGUAAUAAUUUUAUCACAUGCAUAUAUCGGACACCGGCAACUCCUUCAAUUAGAAGUGUAGGUGCUACAAAGCUCAUAAUAGACCUGUGUAAUUAUAAGUUGGUUAUGUAUUUGCAUGAAGAAGGUUAAGGUCUUUUGACUACUUAGUCCAUAAGCAUAGUCUCAUUCCAUGUCCAUCUUAUUUGAAAAGAAACCAUAGUCAAUUUUCGAUGAACUAAAAAUUGAAAUCCAGAAUAUUUUGGUUAAUUUUUGGUCAUACACCAUUAGUCAGAAAUGUUAACAACAUGAUGAAUAAUAAUAAUACAUUUUGUAGUUUUUGCUUGGUUGCUUGAUGGGGUUGUAUUUGUGUGCUCUUUAUUUGCAGUUCAUAGCAUAGAUAAUGAACUGGAGGAUUCCUCACGGAUGAGCGGGGUUGUGUGUACUUCCCUUACUCUAUGCUCUUCGGUGUACUUACUGACAAGCUUCUUUGGGUUCCUUCUAUUUGGUGAAGGAGUUCUUGAUGAUGUUCUUGCCAAUUUUGAUACUGAUCUUGGAAUUCCCUUCGGUUCUGCGCUCAAUGAUGCUGUUCGUUUGAGCUAUGCUGCGCAUCUUGUCCUUGUAUUUCCUGUAAUUUUCUAUGCAUUGAGGGUCAACUUAGAUGGUCUAAUAUUUUCCUCAUCAAGAAGACCUUUGGUUGUUGAUAACUUCAGAUUUGCAUCAAUUACUAUUUCCCUUGUUGGCAUUAUCUUCCUCGGAGCAAAUUUCAUACCGAACAUUUGGGUUAUUUUCCAGUUCACUGGAGCAACAGGUGCUGUUUGUGUAGGAUUCGUUUUUCCAG
rnacentral:lncRNA from 1 species